UUUCAGGUUCCAGUCAUAAUGUCAUACAAGAACAAUCCUUCAAUGAAAGGAAACGAUGCCGUUGAGGUGAUCAGGGAAGCAUUGAGUCGGGCACUCGUGUAUUACUACCCUUUGGCUGGCAGGCUCAGGGAAGGACCAAACAGGAAGCUUAUGGUGGAGUGCAAUGGAGAAGGUGUCUUGUUCAUAGAGGCUAAUGCUGACGUCACGCUUGCGCAACUUGGGGACACCAUUGCACCCCCUUCUCCAUUCUUAGAGGAGUUUCUUUAUAAUGUUCCAGGCUCUGAUGGGAUUCUUGGUUGCCCUCUGUUGCUGAUUCAGGUGAGUAUUUGUUAGUUAACUGCAUGUUAAUUAAUAUCUGUUUUUGAAUUUCUUGGUGGAUCUUGGCCCUUCUAUACAAUGAAAGUUUCUGAUUGCUGGAAUUUACUUCCAUGGAAUGUUUGCCUCUUUAUGGAUUUGAAGUAGCUAGGUGAAGGUCCAUUACUGUUAAUUUGUACCAAGUGAACUGUGUAUCAAAAGUGUGUGUGGUCCCAAAUAAAACCAGUAGGCGGCAGGCACAAUGGAGGGAGGAUUUGUGGUUGUAAGUAAACACACAAGUGUUCUGAAGUGGUGGCUUUUCAGUUAACUCAUAAAUUAGUUUUUAAAUUUUUUUGUCUAAAUAAAUAAAUUAAUGAUUAGCACAUGUCUCAAUUUUAAUUAAAAUCUGAUGAUGUAUAAAUUUGGUGUCCCUAGCUGUACUCAUAUACAAGACCCUUGCUGAAUCUAUUAUGCGCAAAAUAUCUUGAUAUAAAAAAUUACACUGAGAAUAUGAAGGAAAAAGCCUAGUGAUUAAUUCAAGCUUCUACAAUAUACAGGUAACCCGUCUUUCAUGUGGAGGUUUUAUACUUGCAUUGCGCUUAAAUCACACAAUGUUUGACGCAGCUGGGCUUCUCCAGUUCUUGAACGCCGUUGGGGAGAUGGCACAAGGUGCACAAGCGCCAUCUACUACACCAGUGUGGGAGCGAGAGCUCUUGGGUGCUCGAGAUCAGCCACGAAUUACGUGUGUGCAUCAUGAAUAUGAAGAAGGGAUUGAUGCUCAAGGCUCAUUUCCAAGCACUAACAAGCCAAACAUGGUCCAACGAUCUUUCUAUUUUGGGUCCAAGGAGAUAAAGGCCAUUCGGAAUCAUAUUCCACCGCAGUUAUCAACCUGCACUACAUUUGAUUUGAUAACAGCUUGUUUGUGGAAAUGCCGCACACUUGCACUUAGAAUGAAUCCAAAACAAGUUGUUCGCCUUUCAUGCUUAGUCAGUGCACGCGGUAAGCGCCACAAUGUACGUCUUCCCUUGGGAUAUUAUGGCAAUGCGGUUGCAUUUCCUGCUGCAGUUUCAGAGGCUAAAGCUGUAUGUACAAAUCCAUUGGGAUAUGCUUUGGAGUUGGUAAUGAAGGCAAAAGCUACAGUGAAUGAAGAGUACAUGAGAUCAGUUGCAGAUCUUAUGGAAAUAAGAGGACGACUACCAAAAUAUCCGUUGACAGGAAACUUCAUAGUUUCCGAUACAUCGCGUGCUGGUUUUGGAGAGGUCAGUUUUGGUUGGGGCAAGCCGGUAUUUGGUGGACCUGCGAAGGCCUUGGAUUUGAUUAGCUUCUAUGUUCAACACAAAUGCAACAAUGAGGAGGGGGUAUUGGUACCAAUAUGCUUGCCAUUAUCGGACAUGGAGAGAUUUCAGCAGGAGCUCGAGAGGAUGACUGUGGAGACUGUGCAGACUAUGGAAGAUAUAUAUGACACAAAAUCAGCUAAGAUCGUGUCAAGGAUGUAACAAAUUUUCUCAAAUUUUACAUUUCUAGUGUGAUGUCAAUGGAUUUCGGAAUGUACCAUAAACAUUAGAUGCAAAGGCUUAUGUGUGUGUAUAUGCAUAGCCGCUUCUCUUUUAUGUGCUAUCUCAUGUCAUCAGGUUAUUGUUAUUUUCGCGCAUAUGUAUGCUUGACUUUUUCUAUGAGCUUUAUUCCAACAAAAACUAUUGGUGUUGUAGUUGGAUGACCAUUUUUGGAGUGAAGUAGCGAGAUCAAACUUUCUCCACCGCUGGCCGUGGCCGCAGGGCUGGCCCGAGCAGGUCAGCCGCGUCACUACCACUGGCAACCAGCAGGCUAAACGACGAAGGCCCUUCCCCCAACUUAUUGCCAUGGAAAUCUAUCACUGCCAAAUUCCUAAAGACUUAUUGGCUUAUUGGCCUUCGUAUGAAGCCUAUAUUGCCAGAGGAUUCAUGAGUUUAUUCUUCAAUACCAUAAACCCACCUCCUUUUAGAUCCUCAAUCUAUUUUAUUGAACCCUACAUUGAGAGAGAGACAAGAUCAACCAUGGCAAUUAUUAGGUCUACUAGAUGAUGAUUCUCAAGCCUCCUUUUAAUGUUCAAGGUUGUGUUGAGAAAUUGUAAGGUAAAGAGAUAUGAAAGAUGGGGAAGAAAAGGAAGCUGAGCCACAACCGUGACAGGCCGUGGGGUUGGGGGACUUGUCGGCGAGGAAGGGUUGGGGCUGCUAUUUGUUUUCCUUCAAGUUUUUUAUUUUAUUUAUUUAUUUUAAAGUUGAAAAUGUAAAAAUAAAAAACUUUUAAAUCCAGCUGGUAAAGAGUUUUUUUAAAUAUUUUUAAUAAAAAUAAGAUACAUGGCAAAAUUUGAGUUGGAGUAUCACCACACCAGAUGACGUGGUGAUACGGACCAUUCUAUAAUUUUUCGUUCGAGUGGUACAUGAUCACCUCAUUGUUUGGGUCAACAAUCUACAUGCUUAGACCAGCGCUGGAGGCCCAGGAAGACAAAGCUCUGGAUCCAAGCAAUUUGGGCUUUUUGUUCAAAUUGGAAUCAUGAGCCCAAACCCAUGUCAAAUUGUGGGCAACCACCAGAGUCUACUUUAAAAGAUUUGGGCCAAUUUCCAGCACACCAUCCCAUUUUUUUUAUUUUUUUUUUUAAGAAAAGGGCCAUGAGACAAAAACAUUUGGGGCUGUUUUAUCCACUAAAAAGUCACUAGCCUAGCCUUUUUACACCAUCUAAAUCUCUACCCCAGAAGAUUGACAAAAUCAGAAGAUCUUUUCUAAACAAACCCCCGUGACCACUUGGUGUUGAAAAAGUCAAAAUUUUCAACUAUUAUAGAGAGGUUGAUAGGAAAUUAAUGAAGGCAGGUUUUACAGAAAGACUUUUCUACUUUUACUCAGCCAAGAGAAGGUCAGAAUUUUUAUACAGAGAAGCUUUGCACCAAAACAGAGAUAAGUAGGAAGUAGGGAGUUGUUCAUAUGGAAAAUCAAAACUAACCAUCAUGGUAGUUGAACUCUUACGAAAAGCAGCUAGAAUUAAAGAAGGAUUAGGUUUUCUUUCAAGAAAAACAGGGAAAUGACUGCCUUAGAACUAACUGUUGAUGGUCUACUUGCCAAAAUAGAUAAGUUCCCUUUUCUUUUUUGAAAUUAAAAAAGAGAGAGCUUGUUUUUCAGAAAAAUCUGCCGCCCAUUUUAAAAUUAAAAAAAAUCCAACUCCAGCAUUUCCUAUAAAAGUGAGAGAAGGUGAACAGAGCAAGGGGCAGCCAAAAAAAUCAAUCAAAAAUAAAAACUCAAAAUGAUCACUUGAUGUCAAAAGCCUUCAAAACACUGAAGCAACCAAAAUCUCAUGGAGUCAUAAGAAAGAAGUCAGCUACAAAUCAGAAUCCUUAACUUCAGUUCAGACUUAGAAAAAUAAGUAAUUCAAAACGAGAUUUCUCUCGUUACAAAUUUGGUUCAACAUAAACCAAAUUAAGUAGAGUUCGGGUUUUACAGAUAUGAAAACCUCAACAAAUUUAUGGAGAGCCCUGAUCAAGCAGAACAGGUACCACAGUGUAAUUCCAGCUCAGUAAUCAUUAAGUCCAGCCAUUUCUGCCCCUUCUAGACUGAAGAGGUUCCAAUUCUGCCUGUUCAAAAAGACUUCUAGGGCUUGAAAUAGAUUAAAGCUUUGCCAAACUCGAACGUUGGCAUCGAUUUACAGCUGAAACUUGACAGUUAAAAGUGUUGAUAGUUCAGUCCAGCACAGGUAUAUCCAGUCUAGCCCUGAUCAGAAACAUCUUGUUGAGACCCAAAAAAUUCAUGAUUGGGCCCAAAUAAAUUACCAGCCCGAAACGCCAUUUUAUUAAGAAAAUGCAUAAAAAGGAGGUACUCGAAAACUUGCCACAUGCGAAUUGAAAUUCAUGCGCCAUGCUAAUUCACCAUGCUAGCUCUACGAGCCCAUGCCAAAAUUAAACAUCAAGGAUAAUAAAAAAUUAAAGCACGCCAAGCGACAUGCCAUGCCAAGCAUGAAAUCGUUGUUUCACACCCAAACACACUACAAGCCUAAGUGGGCCCAAGCCACUCAAAAUGCCCGGGGCUUGCUUGAGUGGGUUGUGGUAUGGAUGGUAAUAGGUCGUCAUGAGGCCCAUUGAUGGGACGAGAAAUGGAGGUUCCGGGUUGCUUGGGAGCCUCGGGACCCAAGCCCAUUUCUUAGGCCCAAAUAUAUGGGUGAGCAAAGAGGGGAAAAUAACUCAAUCAAAAUAACCCAACCAAAAUUAGCCCAGUCAAAGGAUAGCCCAACCAAAAGCCCAAUGUUUAAAUAGCCCACUUAUUUAAUGAAGUACCUUAGCCCAUACAAAAUUCCACAACAAGCCACAAAAGCCUCAGCCCUUUGCUAGAAAAGUAGAAGCCACGUAGAAGAGGUCUGCACGUUCACUGAACAGAGCUGCUGGAAAGUGCCAGCACAUGGGAAUGGAUCAAGUCCCAAAACAAAACACUAGAGAGACCAAGGGAUAUUAGCAUGUAAGUUGUCAGGAAGAGGAGUACCCUUUCAAACCAGCAUAUACACCCAGUCGUUUUCCCUUAUCGGUGCUGGCCCAGGAAGGAGAAGGGAAAGAAGAAGAAAAGUAGCCAAGAGUGGAGCUUCCUACUGAAACAGCCGCGGGAAAAGGGGUCUUGAGCUCCAAAACUCCUGAUUUUGUGCAAAUAGAUAAGGGGAAAUCUCACCCAGAUAGGAAAGUCAAGAGAAGAGAGGAAAAAGGAUGGAAAGACUUGCCAAGAUUGGGAAGAAACCAUUAGGGUUUCUUGGGAAAGGAUAGUUUCCCGCAGCUAUAAAAGGAGGUCCCCUCCACCCAGCAAAAACCAACCCAGGCUGAGAGAGCAAGCUUCCUCUCUUACUAGCAAAACCCAGUAACCUUAUUCGCCCUUUCUUCUUCAUUCUGCUUUGCUUGACAGAUUAUUUUCAGAAUCUGUUGAACUGCCGGAAGAAGCGAUGUUCAUCUUUUACCUCCUUCCAGCCAAGAUCACCAUGCAAAUCUGGUUUCCCUCAGUUUAAACACUCCCAUUUCUCCUUAAGAAGCCUUAUUUUCCUCUUUGGUGCUCAACUCAUGCUGACCCUGCUCCCAUGCCACAAUUUCCUCAUGCUAAGCUAAAACUUUAUCUGUAAGCAAGCAUAAAUCACCUGUAAGCAGCCAUCAUUUUCAUUGGUGAAGGUAACCAGAACACUUCCUAAGGUUUUGCUGCCCUUUCGAAGUGCUUUUGGGGCUUAAUUUUCGAACUCAAGCACAGGGGGUAAUUUCAGUAAUUUCCCUUUUCUGGCAGCCCAACCCAUUUACAGCUGCUGGAAGAAAAAGACCCCCACACAUCUAUCCAGGCAGAAAUGGAAAUCUAGCCCUCUUUUUGUCUUUUUUAGAGUUGGUUUUCCUUUUUGAGCGUUGUAAAAGGCAGUUCUGCCUAAAACAGUUCACUUCCUUAUCAUUUAUUCUGGCCAGAACUACCAGUUUUGUACUGUGAAAAAUUAUGAAAUUCUCACCAGUCUGAGGCAAGAAAAGAACUUACUUAGGAGAUAUUCCUCACCCAAAUUCACCAUCGCUUGUUUAGAAAUCAGUAACUUGGGGUGCAAGUUUUCUAUUUUAAAGAAGUCUGUUAGGAUUUUCAUUGCUAGCAGUGGCACGCUCACACACUAAAGAAAGUUGACUUGUUGACUUGUUCAUUGCUAGCAGUGGCACGCUCCUCACCUUUAGAUUUGUACAACAGUUUUAAGCAUUUACCUUGCGCAUGAGAGCGAUGGAAUAAGAUGCUAAAUUAUGAAUAUGGUUUGAAUACUUUGGGUUGUUCUUUAUUCUUCUCCAUAAGGAGGUAUAUAUAGGAGUUUACAUAUGAAUGUUUUACAAGGAAUUAGAUAUAGUAAAGAAUUAGGAAAGUAUCUCCUAAUUGUAUAAUGAUUUAUCACUUAUAUAAAAAAUGGGAAAGUAAAUCCCUUAAUUAAUUAAGGAAGUAAAUCUCCUUGAUUAAUUAUGAGACUCACGUCAACACUCCUCCUCAAGUUGGUGCAUAUAUGUCACGAAUGCCCAACUUGGUAAGUGAGUCAUGAAAUACUCUUCCACACUCACAGCAUAUGCAAUCUUUGAUCUUGGAGGACGUAUGAAGAGUAGAACAUUUGGUGGUGGUGAUAGAAGAAGGAGUCUGGGUUGACCGCAUGCUUCUGUGAGAGUUUGCAAUAAGAUGGAGAAUCGUAUGGGUUCUUGGAAGUAACAUGUGAUAUGAGAAGGUGAGGAAGGUGAUGUGAGAAAUUUGAUGUAAGAAUUGGAUUUAAGAGGUAUGUGUAUAAGAUUUGAUGGUAUAUGUUUAGGGAUUUGGAUAAGAGGAUUUGAGGACUUUAGAUUUGAGGGAUUUGGAUUUGGGGAAAAAAGAAGAAGCGGAAUUUGAUUUAGGGUUUUGGAUUUGAAUAUGAGAAAUUUGAAGAAAUUUGAGAAAUUUGAGAUAAGGGUUUAGAGACAAAACAACUUCUCUUCACUCUCCUUCUCCCCUUGAAGAGAAGGGGUCGUCAGAAUCAAGAAAUAAGCAAUAUCUUCUUGGGAUACAUCAAGAAAGGAGCGUCACAUCUUCCACCACAGUGAGUGUAGUUGCGUUCCGGACGAGAGCUUGUGACUUGAGUCUGUGAAGCACCAGUGGUAAUACGCAUCUCCAUGACUUGAGACCAUAAGGCAUAAUUGGUUUCAGUCUGGGUGACGCUAUUUUGGAAAGGAGCGUUGUCACUAUGGAUAGUAACAAUUUGGGAGGAUGGUGGAGUGGUGUCGGUGGUGUUGGAAGAGGAGAUGACAUCCAUGGUAGCGGAAGAAUUUUAAGGGUAAAAAAAUAUGUGUUUUGGAAUUUGAAGAUAUGAGGGAUGUGGAUGGAGAUAUGAAUUUGGUAAAGAGAAAUAUGAGUUUGGAGAAAUUUGAUAUGAGAAUUUGGAGACAACCGAGAAUCGAUUGCUCUGAUACCAUGCUAAAAUAUGAAUAUGGUUUGAAUACUUUUGGUUGUUUUUUAUUCUUCUCCUUAAGGAGGUAUAUGUAGGAGUUUACAUAUGAAGGUUUUACAAGGAAUUAGAUAUAGUAAAGAAUUAGGAAAGUAUCUCCUAAUUGUACAAUGAUUUAUCACUUAUAUAAAAAAUAGGAAAGUAAAUCCCUUAAUUAAUCAAGGAAGUAAAUCUCCUUGAUUAAUUAGGAGACUCACGUCAACAUAAGACAUUCGUGCCACAUGAAAUGGACGUCAGUGAUGUUAACCCACAUCUAACUACACGAGACAUAUACGUGGCCCUUGUAUGAACAGAAUUGUGCAAACUAUUUCUUUCUCCAUCUAAAAUGUGUAAGGGUUAUAAUCAGUAUUUACGACGAUCAUCAAUUGUCUUCAUUUUCUGUCAAGCAGUUCAUGGACCAGUACACAUUGAAUUUAUAGUUGUAGCUUUCACUAAAUUAGUCACGUCUAAGCGAUAAUACUGGUGCCUGCAACAUCUUAAAUAGCUAGCUAUAUGUGGUCCUUGUUUUAAUUGCAAGGAUUGUCCAAUAUUCAUACAAAAGGAUUUAACAUGCGUAUGUGGUCCUUGUUUUCUAAAGAUAUCUUACUUGUGUGUAUCUGUUGUAUGUAUGUAAGCUUUCAAGUGUUCAUCUUAUCUUAUCUAAGGUCCACAUAUUUCUUAACAAAAUGUGGAUGACAUGAACCCAGAAAUUACGAACCGUCAUUAUAAGCUCAACUUAUGAUAUAAACCAUUUGUACAGCAGCUGAAGCUCUUGCUUGUCGCUCGAUUGCUCAGAGAGGGGUCAUGCUUAUUGCUACUGCUCAUGGACAGCAGCUUGAGAAUAUACUAAAGAAUCCUACUCUAUAUGUUCUGGUUUCUUCUGAUCUCUAUAAGAAACUCAAUGUGGAAUUCUUCAUGCUUGAAGUCCUCUUAAGACAUUGAGAAAUAUAUCAUUAGUGAAGUUAGGGCUCGUCAAUGGGCUGGGCCGGGUUUUUUUAGAAAAUUCAAAGCUCAAACCCGACCCAUGAAUCGGACUUGAGAAAGCCCAUCGGGCCGGGCCGGGCUAAGCCCAACAGGCCGGGCCUAAACCGGCCAACUUCAUUAAAAAAAAUCAUAAACUUAAUCAUAAGGGCAUUUUAGUCCAAAUUUGAGAUUAAACUCACUUAAUUCUAAUAUUUUCACAUCAAACCAAAUUCAUAAAACACCCAAUAAAGUCACACAACUUAAUAAGAUUUUUCACAAAAAUAAUAAAACCAAGUAUUAUUUUUGAGGUUAUUACAUAAUUAGAUCGUAAUAUGUUUUAAGAAAUAAUUUUAAAAAAUAAUAAGUAUCAAAAAAAUAUUUUUUUUUUAAAGGAUGGUAUGAAUAAAUAUGUAAAUAUUUGGUGAUGUGUUUAAGAACAGCAUGAUUAUAUUUGGUGGUACGAUUAUGUUUCGUGAUAUGAUUAUAUUUGGUGAUGUGAUAUGUUGUUCAUCUUAUAUAUAUAUAUAUAUAAUUGUUGAAUUAAUAAUUGACACAAAUUAAUGUGCUAAUCAUCCAAUUAUAAACUAGGAAUGAGUAAAGAAAAGUCAAUGAAAUGAAACAAAUUAUAUAUGUGAUUUAAGUGAUAUAAUCCUAAACCUAAACUCUUAUUUAUACAUAAUUAUAUAUGUAUGCGGGCCUAACGGGCCAGACUUUUGUGGGCAGGCCGGGCCGGGCUUUCUUGGGCUUAAUCGGGCCGGGCCGGACUUCAGACACCCAAGCCCAAGCCUAGCCCGGCCCAAGGCAGGCCGGGCCAUCUCAAAGCCCAUAACGGGCAAGACCGGCCAGGCCCCCAUCGACCCAUGAGCCUGCGGGCCAAAUGAUGAGGCCUAAGUGAAGUGGCUCUUGUUAUACAACAUCGUAAAUAUGGAGAACACGAUACCAAAACAAUCAAACACUACAACGGGUGAAAAUAUUCAAAGCUAAAUAUCUUACAGACAACAGAUAAUAUAGGAGAAGUGAAGUGCUUCUCCUUAAAGGCAUCGAAACUUUAAAAAAAUCGAUGCUUAUAACAUAAGUACACUACAAUGUUUAAGAAAACACUUAUGCUAAAUUUAUUAUAGACAUCAGAAAAUAAAACGUAGGUGAAGUUGUUCUUUUGAAAAGGCAUUUGUGGUGUACAAAGAACCAUUGUUGUUGUCGUCAAAGACAUCGGAAUUCAAUAUAAUUUGGACGAAAUCCAACAACUGAAGCUCAUUAAGGCAUCAUUUUGGUUGAAGAAACCGAUGGUUUUUUAAAAGGCAUAAGUUUUUCCUCGAUGCCUAUUAGCCUUUUUGUAGUAGUGUUACCUACCGAAGUGUAUCAUCCGUAGAACAGCCAAUGGCCAUCGAUUUAGUGGGUCCCAUGUAGAUCACCGAAUUCUUUUCACAAAGAAUGAAAGGCGCCGAGGGAAAAUGGGUAGACAAGCUUCCCGAAGUCCUAUGAGCUUAUCGCACUACCAAAAGGAGAUCAAUCGGCGAAAUCUCAUUUUUCUUAGCCUAUGGAACUAAAGCAAUCAUUCCUCCUCAUAUCAUUGUUCUAUCCAUGAGCAUCGAGAAGGGCAUCAAUAAUCAGAAUUUCGAGCAACUGAAGACCAACCUUGACCUGCUCAAUAAAGAACGAAAACAGUCCAUGUCCUACUACCACAAAGGAGAACAGCUUAGUUCCUAACAGAUGACUGAGUCCACUCCACUUCAGCUCAAAGAAAUUCAAUUUUUCAUUCAAUGAAGUAUUCGAGAAAAAUAAACCCUAGGCACAAGAAGGCCCUUCAAGUAAGGGUAGGCAAAAAUAACCCUUAAUAUAGGAAGGCACCCUUUAAGUAAGGGUGGGUAAAGAUAACCCUCUGAAGGCACUUUUUACGUAUAUGGUGGGUAAACAUGCAUGAAGCGUCCUAAAGGAGAUACAAGCCAACCAAGCCGUCGUUCAUAAGCAGCAUCCUAAGAGAGACACAUGACAACACCCAUGAAGCAUCCUAAGGGAGACACAGGCCAACCAGGACGUCGCCAUAAGCAGUGUCCCAAGGGAGAUGCAGGGCGACAACCAUGAAGCAUCCUAAGGGAUACAAAGGCCAAACAAGUCGUCGCCUAUAAGGAGCUUCUUAAGCGAGAUGUAGGGCGACAACUAUAAAGCAUCUAAGGGGGACGUAGGCGAAACAGAUCGUCACCCAUAAGCAGCAUCCUAAGGGAAACGUAGGGUGACAACUAUGAAGCGUCCUUAAAUGAAAUGUAGGCCAAACAGGUUAUGGCCCAUAAGUAGUAUCCUAAGGGAGACACAUGGCAACAAUUAUAAAGCAUUCUAAGGGAGACUCAAGCCAAAUAGGUCGUCGCUCAUAAGCAGCGUCUUAAGGGAGACGUAGGGCGACAACUAUGAAGCAUGCAAAGAAUUGUGAUAUUGAUGACAAGGUAGGUAAGCAAUCAGGGAAGGAAACGGGUGAGGUAGCAUACAACGAACUCUCAUUUCUCCUAGCCUAGGAGAACUUCAGGAGAGGUGGUCGUCCUUAUAGUUCCCUGAUGUUGCCGAGAUGUAAUUAGGGAUAGUCUUGCUUCCUAAAUGGAUGAUCAUAGAUAGUUUCGCUUCUCAAGCACAUCGAAAGCUCCCUGAUAGGGAAAACAAGUAGAUAUUGCAUCACUAGAUAUGGAGAAAAACUGGAUGUUUUAUGCAAAAAAAAUUAAAAAAAAAAUUGUUAGUAACAUAUUUAUACACAAAUUAGAGAGUCCACCCUUAAAGUGCCAACGACCAUUGAUGAAGGCAGCGUGAAGUUUUGAAAUCUAAAAAAGAAAAAGGGAAAUAUUGGGAUCCGAGAAUAUACUAGGAUCAUGGAACCUUUGCCACAUUUUCGCCUAUAGAUAUUGCUUUUGUAGGGCUUGAUUGGAAUAACUGUGUUUCAACUCAACUUCCUUCCUCUGAAAAUUCAGCUUUUCUAGAACUUUCUUCGAAACCUUUUAAAAUGGCUUCCUUUUCUUCUCACCCAAAACGUUUCGAUUUAAAUGUUUUUUCCAAAACAACUCGUGAUGCCAAAGUCUGGCGUCCAUCCUUUGUAUCCCAAAAUCGUCAUCUUACGGUUAAUGAUUCCAUGAUGAUGAAUGAUACAAUUGUUAUCAUUGUAGCUAGGAAUUUCCUUACUCAUAUGGAUGAAAUACUAUUAAUAGGAAGGUCUGACGAAGAGGCUAUUGAUGAUUUAAUAGCUUUUAGCAUUCAAAGUGCUGCUUCUGUUUCUAACAUGACUCAUUGUUUGCGUGCCAUAUCAAAUGAGAUUCAGGAGCUGAGUACUGAAAAUUCAUCCCUUCGGAGAAUGUUUCAUGAUUCUCAACAGGAGGUUGAAAACCUUAAAAAGGAAAAUAAGGCUUUGUUGAAACUGGUGAGUUCAUACUCCAUUGAUACGCAGACAAGGCUUGACAUGCUGCAGAUUUCCAAUGAAAAGAUUCUGGAAAACCAAGAAAGGCUCAUGGCUAAGCUCAAGAGGGGCUGUUCUCUUUCUCCAGAGACUUCCAGAUCAUAAUGGAAUUUUAUAGAUUUUACAGAGCCUGCUCCUUCCUUGUAGGUGAAAAGAAUCUAUCUGUUGUAUGCUCUUUGCCUGUUAUAAUAAUUGGGCAAAUUCUUAAACUUGCACCUGUGGUUUGCAUGCCUUUUCAAAAUGACGAUUUUGAACCUCGUGCCUUAUGGGUUCAAAUAACCACAUCAAAUCUCUCAAAUUAUAUAUUUCAAUGCAUGUGUGCCCGAAACUUCUAGUCUAGGUUAAACACAACCUCAUAAUUUAAUUGCCAUUCAAAUGGGCAUGAAAUAUAAAUUGAGGAAAAGCCAUUAUAAUAUUGCAAUAUAGUAGUGAAGAGCAUUAAAUAUUAUAUGCCCAAGAUCGGGAUUUCUCAUAUAUUUGGAUCCAUGGGCUUCCGGCCUAGAUCAUAUAAUAUAACAAAAUAUGUGGAGAGCCUCAAUUCAUUCUUUGAGGUUUAUCCUGAUAUUAUUCAUUUCACGAUAUAUUCUUAACAACCGGAAUUCACAAAAUAUAUUUCUUCAUUGAGGUGUCGAUUGUAACAGAAUCGAGUUUUAUUAAAUUCAUCAUUUUUUUUAUGCCAAAGAAACAUGUGGUUUGCCAUAAUUUACUAUCAACCCUCAAGGAUUGUCUGCUUAAUUGUUGGAACUUCAAGUUCUCAACACUUUUAGAUUUUCAACUUCAAGCCAAAAUAACAUAUUUUCAUGGUAUGGACAUUCAAUACUCUUAAAUUUUGAACUUCAGCCCAAAAUCACAAAUUCUCAUGGUAUGGACAUUUUUAUAAUUUCUUGUACAUAUUUCGAGAUUUCAGGCCCUUACAUAAUUGUUUAUGUUUUGAGUAACUUUUGGCUUCUCAUUUAGUUACUCAUCCAUGAGUUCAAGGGACUGCAUGUCACUUUUUAUAUAUAGUGACGGUUUAUCCAAAAUAGUUACUAUUCAUGCUUACAUCACUAUUCAUGUAUACGGUACUAUUCAUCAAGUCAUGAGUACGUGUCUAUUCAUGCAUACAGUACAAUUACUAUUCAUGUGUAUGGCCCUAUUAACCGAUACGGUACUAUUACAUUAUCAAGGACUUUCAGGUCCUUAUUUACAUGUCAAGGAUCAAGGAUCUUCAGGUCCAAUAUCUUGUUUACAAAUAUAGUACCAGAGAGAUUGACAGCCCUCAUAUCAUUAUCAUCAUCAAGGAUCUUCAGGUCCUGAUAUAGUUGUAUGACGAAGAUCAAUGAACUUCUGGUCUUGAUCUCUGUAUACUGUAAAACUCAUCAUAUCACACAAUUAAUUCAUAAAUUGCUAUAAAUUACUUGUAGAUAAAUUGCUGGUAUGGAUGAUAAGCAUGCACCAUACUUUAAAUAAAAGUAGAUAUAUGGUAAAUAAAUACUGUUGUAUGAGUAAUACACCAUACUGUAAAUAAAGUAAAUAUGGGGAUAAAAUCACCACCGAAUAUAUAUAUAUAUAUAUAAUAUACAGUCCUGAUCUCUUGGACCACAGGAGUCCAAGAGAUUGUGGUCACUCACCGUUGGAUAUUAAUCUAAUGGUUUAAAAAAGUUUCUUAAAAGGAGUUCAAGAUUGAGUGAACCGUUGAAUUUACAUCCAAUGGUGAGUGACCACAAAUCUCUUGGACUCCUGUGGUCCAAGAGAUCGGGACUGAUAUAAUAUAUCAUAUACUUUAUAUAAUAUAACAUAUUAUAUUACCAUCAACUCUCCAUAUUAAUGUCAUAUAUACUAAUAUAUAUAUAUAUAUAUAUAUAUAAAAUCAUAUCAAAAUGUAAUGGAGGAGGAUCAUGAUUGCCACAUGAAAUGGUCGUGGAGGGUUGACAUAUGCCACUGCUUUUCUUCCUUCCAUCAACACAAUGGUUAGUAAUAUAAAUAAUAGUGCAGCUGAGAAAAUUAUACCUAAGAGCUUCUCGUGCUAAUAACAUGUUGUAAAAUGGAUGGAAUAUGUGAGAAUAUUAAGCUACACGUAAAGUAAAUGAGACACAAUAUUUAAUGAAGUUCGGCCAUGCCUACAUCCUCGAAGAGUAGCAGUAGUAACUUUUCCACUAUAUAUGGCUCACUGAUUUUUCUCUCUGCUCUCUUUUUCCUCUCCUCUCACUCUCCCUUUCUUUCCUUCUUUCCUUCCUCUCUGCCCGACUCUCUUUCUUCUCCCAGUUGGGUAUCUCAUGCAAGGGAAGGAUGAAGCCUUUUUAUAGGCAAAGUUGAUAGCUUCCGAUGGAUGUGGAGUCUCCAACAUGUGAAUAUGCAGGUAGGCCUCAUCAUUUGGCCCGCGGGCUCAUGGGCCGAUGGGGGCCCGCCCGGCCCAUCGAAAAAAAGCCUGGCCCGGCCCAUUAUGGGCUUUGAGAUGGCCCGGCCGGCCUUGGGCCUGCCUAGGCUUAGGCUUGGGUGUCUGAAGUCCGGCCUGGCCCGAUUAAGCCCAAGAAAGCCCGGCCCGGCCCACCCACAAAAGCACGGCCCGUUAGGCCCGCAUACAUAUAUAAUUAUGUAUAAAUAAGAGUUUAGGUUUAGGAUUAUAUCACUUAAGUCACAUACAUAAUUUGUUUCAUUUCAUUUACUUUUCUUUACUCAUUCCUAGUUUAUAAUUGGAUGAUUAGCACAUUAAUUUGUGUCAAUUAUUAAUUCAACAAUUAUAUAUAUAUAAAUAAGAUGAACAACAUAUCACAUCACCAAAUAUAAUCAUAUCACUUAACAUAAUCGUACCACCAAAUAUAAUCAUGCUUUUCUUGAACACAUCACCAAAUAUUUGCAUAUUUAUUCAUACCAUCCUUUAAAAAAUAUUUUUUUGAUACUUAUUAUUUUUUUAAAUUAUUUCUUAAAACGUAUUACGAUCUAAUUAUGUAAUAACCUCAAAUAUAAUACUUGGUUUUAUUAUUUUUGUGGAAAAUCUUAUAAGUUCUGUGACUUUAUUGGGUGUUUUAUGAAUUUGGUUUGAUGUGAAAAUAUUGGAAUUAAGUGAGUUUAAUCUCAAAUUUGGACUAAAAUGCCCUUAUGAUUAAGUUUAUGAUUUUUUUUGAAUGAAGUAGGGCCCGUUUAGGCCCGGCCCGGGCCUUUGGGCUUAGCCCACCCCGGCCCGAUGGGCUUUCUGAAGUCCGACUCAUGGGCCGGGCUUGGACUUUGAAUUUUCUAAAAAAACCCGAUCUGACCCGACCCGAUAUUUUUUCUCUCCUCUUUAAAGCCCAACUCGGCCCGGCCCAAAUCCAUUAAAUUUGGACCGGACUAGCUUAGCCCAACCCAUUGACGAGCCCUAUAUGCAGGGAAGGAAUUGGCAGACUGUGCACCUCCGAAGUCUUCAUUGGUAGGCUCCACUUCCUUUCUUUAUAACAACUCAUACUGUGUAGUCAUUUUGUUGCAGUAGUACAGGCCCUCACAGUGUAUGAGAUGGGUCCACUGUGCCCUCUACUGUUUCCGGUGAACCGGUUCGAGCCGGAACUUAUAACACCGGCAAAGCCAACGCCUCUUGAAACCAAGCUGCUGUCGGAUAUAGACAACCAGGUUGGUAUUCGGUUUCAUUAUUCAGUCAUAAUGACUUACAAGAACAAUCCUUCAAUGAAAGGAAACGACGCCGUUAUGGUGAUCAAGGAAGCAUUGAGUAGGGCACUAGUGUUUUACUACCCUUUGGCUGGUAGGCUCAGGGAAGGGCCUAACAGAAAGCUUAUGGUGGACUGCAAUGGAGAAGGUGUAGAGGCUAAUGCUGACGUCACGCUUGAGCAACUUGGGGACACAAUAUUACCGCCUUGUCCUCCCUUGGUGUUGUUCCUGUUUAAUCCCCUUGGCUCUGAUGGUAUUCUUGAUUGCCCUUUGCUGUCCUGUUAUUUCAGGUAUUGGCUUUGUAUUACUUUUUUCAUUCUUGGACUUGUAGCUACUACUAGAUGACGAAUAGAAGGGCAGUAGCGUUCAUAGAAGGGCAGUAGCGUUCUUGGACAGUAGCGUUCUUGGACUUAUAUCUCACGACUGUCACUAAAUUUUAUGUUCCACAUAGCUAUUAUAUUAUAUAUUGAAUUAAACAAUCAAUAAUAUAUAUAUAUAUAUAGGUCAAAAACGAACUUUUGUUUUGUCUGUUGCCUUAGUAGAAUUGGUUUUAACUUCUUUUUUUACGCAUUCAAAAAUUAUUAUUAUUAUUAUUAUUAUUAUUAUUUUAUGAAGAAAAGUUUAGGAGGAGGGGAGGCUACCCCAUCCCAAGAUUAGGGCAUACCAAGACCUCUUUGAGGACUUAUAGAAGGAGUCUUAGCCCAUUUUUUUGUUUUUAUAGGUUACCCAUCAAAAGGGAUUGUGGACAGCGAGACUCGAACCUAAACUUUGAUAGCGAAGAGAACGAUCCUUACCAACUCAAUUAACACUUGUUGGCAAACGAAUAUAUUUUUUUUAUUACAGUAAAUUUCCCCUUCAAAAUAAUUUUUUCUUACGUACAGCCCAUCCUUUUAUUUUUCUAUAAAUUAAACCCAAUUUUUGUAAGUAAAACCAAAUGACUAGGAUUGACCUAAGCAAGUUACCUAAUCAAGCUUAAUAUUUUAAGUGUUGCAUUUUUCAAAUUCCUAAAAUACCCGUAAUUGCAUUAAUGUUUUUCCCAACAAAUUGUUUCCUAUUCAAUGCCAUAAUGGUGUUACAAUUUUGCAUAAGUUUUCUGGUGUCAAGUUUAUUUUAAAAAUGUUGUAAAUGCAUGAGUUGGUGGAUGACCACCAUACCUCUUAAUAUUCCACCGUUGGAUUUUAUGUAACCUAUGCACUAAGUAUUUGUAAUUAAUGCUUGUAACCUAUAGGUAUAUUGUAAAUGAUGGUAUUCAAUCUCCUAUCUUGUAAGCCUAUAAAUAGGUGGUUCUACCAAAGAUUUAGUGGGAAUAAACAUGGUGAAACUUUGUCUUUAGCAUAUCACUUCUCUCUACAUUUUCUCCCUCUAGUUUUAUAACACGUUAUCAGCACGACAUUGCUCUUGGUAUGUUUUCUUUCUCUGAAUUUUCUUUCUUCUUAUAUGAGCUAGAGUCAUCACAUGGUAUAGAGUUUCUUUGUACUCACCAUCAGACUUCAUCAUGCUUGUUUAAGAAAAAAAUUCUUAUUCUUAUUACACAUGAAUAUAAUGCCAUGUUUUUGUUUUUAUUUGUUUGUUUAUUUAAUUUUAAGUAUGAUCUUAAUUAUUAUGAUGAGUUUGAAUUAUACAAAAGAUCAGGGGCCCGAAGUUCCGUGAUCCUCAUCAUAUAACUAGAUUAGGAUAUGGAGUCCUUUUGAUUGAAUCAGAACCUGAAGUUCUUUGAUUCCAAAUAAUUGAGGGCGUGAAGUUCCGCGAAUUUAAAGAGCACAUAAGGACAUAAAACUCCUCGAUUUUGAUUCAAAAUCAGAAUUCCAUGAGGCCUACAUAUGUCAAGAACUUGAACCAGAAGUUUCGCGUGCAUAUACAUCGAUUUGAGUAUGAAGUUCAAAGCACAACUAUUAAUUCAAUUUAUUUAGAUCUACGUAUUCGUACCUGAAGUUUCGAAUAUAUAUUGAUAUGAACCUGAAGUUCAUAGUUUUUCAUGGAUCUUAAUACUAUAUAUGAACUUGAAGUUCAUUACUUAUUUGUGCCUAUAUGAACCUGAAUUGGUUGGGAAUCCAAUUCUUAAACUUGUAGUUUUAUCUACAUAUUGAAUCCACAUUAAUAUUGGAUUAUCUUGGAAUUUCAUAAUCUUUAAUUGAUUUAUUUUAUUCCUUGUUUAUACCACUUUACUUAUUUUAUUAUAUUAUAUUUUAUUUAUGUUAGGUCAUUAAUUAAUUUCGUUUUACAAUGGUAAUGUUUUGUAUUACCGCCCCAAUAUUGAUAGCCAGAGGCGUCUAUUGGAGAAACUUCCUACUUUCUUUUGUGGGUAGGAAGUUUAUGAUGUUAUGAACCAAAAGUUCUUGAGGCCCUAAUAUUACACAACUAUUAUAGUUGAAGAUUAUGAUGUCAUGAACUAGAAGUUCAUUGACCGAAUAACUUUUAUGUUGUGACAUGACUAUCUUGACAAUCCAUGUCCCACAAUGAUACAUAAGAUUUUUAUAAAUUUGUAAGGACAUCGUUUAAAGACUCAAAUUAUUGUCUUGUCCAACAAUAUCAUUACAAAGAACGCUCACAAAUAAAAGCUGUCAUAAGAUCAUCUCAGUCAAAAAUUGACUUUGAGCCAUCUUUCCUGAAAUAAUUCAAGGGGAUAUUUGUGAGCCUAUAUAACAUCUAAUUAUGGAUCACUUCACCAGUUUUACUGAAUGUGCCUACUAAAAUGGUCACAUAUUUGAUAACGACUGUGAGUUUAUUUUCCUACAUUUUGAGACAAUUUUCCCGCCGUUAGGGGGAGAAAUGACAAUUCCUAAAGAACGUCGUGAAAUAGUGUUGAAUCAAUCCGCUUUUGUCUCAUCAAGAUAAUGCAUAUAUAAGUUGUACAUAUGCUAACAUGGAUUGAUAUUCUCGUAUCACAAUCCAUUAACAUGGUGACUAUAUAUAUAAUGCAUGCCUGAAGCAUGUCAGAAAUAUAGGUUCUAAAAACUUAACUCCUCAGAAAUGGAGAUUAUUUGAAAAAUUCAAGCCCUAUAAAAAAUAACGUUCUAUAGGAGGUUAUGAUCCACAUAUUCUAAAUAAUUCAUUGUAAAAGAGAUGUUUAUCCCAUAAGUGACAACAUAAGCCCCUGAAGAGGCAUUGGUACCCCAAAGCAAUGAGAUGAUUAUAAAUUAUGCAUGUGCAUGCACAUAAGAAUUGUGGGAUCACAAAUUGAUGAUACAUUUGGUUUAUUAGUAGCUACUACAAUCAUCAAGGGCUAUGAUUAUAUUAAAUCACGUUUCAUGAAUGUCAACAAGUUAAAUGAUUGGCCAAAAAUGGAAAUAGGCAAUUCCAUUUAUCACUAAAUAAGAAGAGUUGGAUAUUGAACCUAUAACUCAAACACCAAAUUACAAAUGUUCAGUAUGAAGGUUACGAAUUGGUGUUUGCACUACUACAAAAAAGCAAAAAGACGACGGUAAAUCACCGUCGUGUAUUCGGUUUUUCAAUGGUCGUGGAAUCCACCGUCAUCUUUUCCCUCAUAAACCACGACGCUAAAUCACCGUCGUUGUUAAAAUAUACAACGUCAUCAACAAAUACAAAACGACGUCUUUGUACUGCAAAAAGAUCUAAAAAAGCAGUCGAGGAUGAGAAUAGACGACCAACUCUCUAAAAAAACCGUCGUUAAAAAGGAAAAAUAUGACACAUAUUAAGAGAACAAGGCCGCAAGAUAGACAUACAACGACGAAAAUAAAAAUACGACGCCGUUAAAUAUCAUUUUCACGACAAUAAAAAAUUUGACGUCUUUAAAUACAUUAGAAGACGACGUUAUUGAUACCUACUACGUCGCAUAUAUAAAAAUAGCCGUCGUAAAAUUAAUUUUCCACUUCGAUUUUUCGAUAAAAGAUGACGUGAAAAUAGUUGUCAGUGUCAUUAUUUACGACGUAUGUAUUUAUUGAGUAGACAUUGAAAAACGAAACAACGUCGGUUACAAAUAUAUGAGAGUCGUAUUACAAAAUUUAUACGUCAUAUUUUCAGAAACAAACAACGACGAUAAAUAUUAGACGUUGUUAAAUAAAACAACGUCGGAAAACAAUAAAAACAGACGUGUUUAGUCUGCUAAAGUUCUAGAAAAUAGUCGAGGAUGAGAAUAGACGACCAACUCAAACAAAUCACCGUCGUUAAAAAGGAAAAAUAUGACACAUGUUAAAAGAACAAGGCCGCAAGAUAUACAUACAACGACGAAAACUAAAAUACUACGCCGUUAAAUAUAAUUUACACGACAAGAAAAAAUAUGACGUCUUUAAAUACAUGAGAAGACGACGUUAUUGAAAUAUACUACGUCUCUUAUUUACAAACAACCGUCGUGAAAUAAAUUUUCCACUUCGAUUUUUCUAAAAAAGAUGACGUGGAAAUAGUUGUCAGUGUCAUUAUUUACGACGUAUGUAUUUAUACAGUUGACGUUGAAAUGCGAAACAACGUCGGUGGCAUUUAUAUAGUUGACGUUGUAUUUAUAUCUAUCAUCAUUACUCACGACGCACUUAAUAAUAUAGACGACGUUGAACUUCUAAACAACGUCGGUUCCAAAUAAAUGAGAGCCGUAUUACAGAACAUAUAGACGGCGUUGAUUAUGAUGAGAGCCGUAUUACAAAUAACGUCGUUUAAUUGUUAUUAGACGGCGGUUAUAAUGAAUUUCCGUCGGAAUUCAUUUCGUUCCUCUUCGUUUAUAAAAGAACUUGCGACGUGGAAAAUGUAUGAUGACGUCGUAUUUUUUAACGUUCAGAUUAUAUAUCUCGUUUUUUAGACGUCGGUAUUAUGGGAUUGGAGUCAUGUUAUUUUGAAUUACAUGGCGGUUCUUAAUCCUUCCCCGACGUGAUAUCCUGAAUAAUUGCUUCACAAUAGCGUCGUGGUUCUUCAUUGUUACGUUGCUUUAAGACGUCGGUAAAUAUGCUGAAUAACUGGUUCACAAUAACGUCGUGUUUUAUUUGAACGUAGAAAGUGAAGAAAUCACAUUACAAUAUAUUACAAAAUUAAUGUCAUACACUGCCAAUUACAUAAGCAUCAUUCAAUCCAUAUAUCUUCACACCCAUCUCGAAUAUUUUGACCGCCUAACUCACCCACCAGUUCAUCAAAUGUGUCAACAUUUGACAUCCCUCUAGUAAAUGGCUCACACUCAAUUAUCACAUCACCUAAGACUUCAUCACCAAUAACAUCAUUAUAUUCUCUAUUAGGCAUUGAUAACACUACCGACCAACCACGAUGCAUCGGGUCGUCAACAAAAAAUAUUUGUUUGACUUGAGAAGCCAAAACAAAUUGGUCAUUCCUAUGUCCAAUUUUACUCAAAUCUACAAGGGUAAAUCCAAGUUCGUCGACUACAAGACCAGAACUAUCUAUCCAAUCACACCUAAAGACUGGGAUUGUAAACUUUUGGUAGUCAAGGUCCCAAAUUUCUUGAAUGACACCAUAGAAACCCAUAUUUGAGAGAAUUGGGUUUUUAUCCUUGGCACUAGCAACUUGCAUGGUAUGUGCAAGUAAAUAAACUCCACUAUUUUGAGUUGUCCGCACAUCAUCUUGUGCCUUGAUAUUGAAUUUAAUACUUUUAAUAAGAUAGCUCCUAUAUAAUGGCACUGACAUGUUUGGACCAGCUGCUAGCCACCUUAAAUUUUCUGAUACGCCAUGAUUGUCUUCCUCAAGUUCACUUUGGACCUGCGAAGUAAUCAUAUCUUAUUUCAAUCUACAUAUAAAUUAGAAGAAAAUUAAAGAGAAUAUGGUAUUCAACAACAUAUACCUUGAAGCGUAGCCAUUGAAUGAAAGUGCUAUCGGGCUUAUCCUGCAGCCACUUGGUCUCUUCUAAUUUUUGGAUAGCAUCUUGAUGUGGAUCAUAUGUUGNNNNNNNNNNNNNNNNNNNNNNNNNNNNNNNNNNNNNNNNNNNNNNNNNNNNNNNNNNNNNNNNNNNNNNNNNNNNNNNNNNNNNNNNNNNNNNNNNNNNAUAUAUAAGAUAAACAUUAGAGAUAACAUAGAAUAAUUUAAAUGAAACUAAAGAUAAAGCUCAUACGUACUCGAUUAUAAGUAGACUCUCGUAUCUCAAGACAUAUAAGAUGUGCUUGAUUCAACAGGUCUGAUCAACUACGCUCACUGUGCAACCUGAUAAUGGCUUUGAAAGUCCCAUCUUUUGGCUUGAAGGCACUCAACUGUACUAACAUCAGAUAAAUGCUGAGUACAAAACUCUACCGCUUCUUCAGCUAUAUACCGCUCAGCAAUGCAACCUUCGGGACGAGUACGAUUCUGAACAUACCCCUUCAGCACUUUCAUAUAUCUUUCAAACAGAUACAUCCACCUAAAAUAUACUGGCCCACAUAGACGAACUUCUCUGACAAGAUGUACUACUAGAUGAACCAUGAUAUCAAAGAAUGAAGGGGGAAAGUACUUCUCAAGCAAACACAGAGUAACUACUACAUCUUCUUCCAACUUAUCUAGCUUGGAAACAUCAACAGUCUUUGCACAUAUAGCAUUGAAGAAGAAGCAAAAACGAGUUAUUGCAUACCUUGCAGGCUUCUCCAAAACAGAACGAAUUGCCACAGGGAGCAAUUGUUGCAUUAAGGUAUGACAAUCAUGUGAUUUAAGGCCAAGAAGUCUUGAAUCUUGUAAAGAUACAAGAUUUUUAAUAUUUGAAGAAUAACCUUCAGGGACCUUCAUACCAUAGAAAGAAUUGCAAACCUCUCUCUUCUCUGCUCUUGACAAAUUCCAAGGCCCAGGAGGCAAACGAGUACGUCUUUCUCCAUACUCGGGUUGCAAAUCAGUUUUGACCCCCAUGUUCAAUAAAUCUAAUCGAGCAGCAAUCCCAUCUUUAUUUUUUCCAGGGAUCUCCAGCAAUGUACCAAUGAUACUAUCGCAAACAUUCUUCUCAAUGUGCAUAACAUCUAGGGCAUACUCGAGAUCAAAGAAUAUUGAUUUCUUCUUCCAACAAACUCUGUCACCAUUUUCAACCAUAUGCAGCACUUCUUCUCCGGUUAAUGGCUCGGGAGGUAUGCCAUAUUCAGGUUUCCCAUUAAAAGCUGCACGUUGCCUCCUAUAUGGAUGAUUGAUUGGUAACCAUUUUCUAUGCCCAAUGUAACAAAUUUUGUGGCCAUUUUUCAACCUGUGACUAGGUGUAUCAUCGCUGCAUAUUGGACAAGCUUUAUAUCCUUUAACAACACAACCAGAUAAGUUUCCAUAGGCGGGGAAAUCAUUAAUUGUCCACAUUAAUGCAGCUCUGAGUGUAAAGUAUUCUCCAUUAUGUGCAUCAUACACUCCUCUAAUCCCAACCCACAAGGAUUUUAAAUCAUCAAUCAAAGGCUCCAAGUAGACGUCUAUAUCAUUUCCGGGUUGUUUAGGACCGGAAAUCAAUAAGGUUAACAUCAUGAACUUUCGUUUCAUGCACAGCCAUGGAGGGAGAUUAUAUGUAACUAAGAUAACCGGCCAACAACUAUAUCUGCUACUUAGAGAACUGUGGGGAUUGAAUCCAUCAGAUGAAAGAGCCAAUCUCAAGUUUCUCGGCUCAUUACCAAACUCAGGCCAUUUAUCAUCAAGAAGUUUCCAAGACGGGGAAUCCGCCGGAUGAGACAUCUGACCGUCAAUUGAUUUUCUAGCAGCAUGCCACCAAGUCAAACUCUUAGCUGUCUCAUGUGAUUGAAACAUCCUUUUAAACCUUGGAAUUGGGGGAAAAUACCACACCACCUUCGCUGGCACACCCUCUUUCAAGAUUGAAUCUUUGCCUUCCUUCCACCUUGAGAUACCACAAGUAGGACAAUUAGUUGAAUCCUCAUACUCCUUCCUAUACAAGAUGCAAUCAUUGGGGCAUGCGUGCAUUUUCUCAUAACUCAGCCCCAAUGCACACAAAGUCUUUUUAGCCUCAUACAUGGAGGUUGGUAUUGUAUUUCCUUCUGGAAGCAAAUCGCCUUGAAGUAUCAAUAAUUCUGUAAAACAGACAUCACUCAUCCCAUAUUUUGCCUUCAAAUUAUACAACUUCACUAAUGCCGAUAACUUCGUGUACUUUCUACAACCAGGGUACACUGGUUGAUCUCCAUCCCCAAUCACAUUGGCAAACUCAUACGGAUCCGAACCAAAAUCACCAAAAUCAUUAUCAUCCAUAUCAAUUUCUUCAGACACAAAACUGUACCUACUAUGGCCAUCAUCUUCUUCAACAUUUCUACUAGCAUUAGUAGUUGCUUCCCAAGGUUCUCUGUGAAAUGUCCAAUUCUUAUAGCUUUGGUCAAUUCCAUUAAAGUAUAAGUGAUCCCUUAUAAUUCCAACCCCAAACAACUUCAAAUUAACACAUUUAACACAUGGACAACGGAUAUGUGUUGUAGUUAGAAGAUUUUCUACAGCAAAGUUCAAAAAUGCUUCCACCCCAAAUUCAUAUGCCUUCGAUCUUCUAUCCGAGUGCAUCCAUGACUUAUCCAUCUCCGACACUAUAACCUAUUAUCUAUAAUAAAGUGAAAAUACAGGCAAUGACCAUCACUAUAGCAGAUUAUACAAUGAUCUAAUCGCAAGUAAUACACAACAGAGACGACGGGUUUUAAACAAAAACAGACGUAUUUGGCAUAUAUAGACGACGGAUUUUCAACAGACGUCGUCUAUUAUAAGUAAUACAAACGACGGUUUAUGAAAAAACCGUCGUGUAUAAGUAAUACAACGACGGUAGUUUAAAAAAACCGUCGUGUAAUCGUCGUCGUAAGCCUUAAAAUUCGUCGUGUCUCAGUUUAUUUUCAAGAACACAAAACCCAUUAAGAACACAACAUAUAUAUGAAACCAAGCAAGAAACCAACAUAUACAUGAAACCAAGCAUGAAAACAAUAAAUCCAUUCCCAAUUCAACAUAACAUAGGGUGAUUAAAAGAUACGACAAAAUUAAAUCCAUUCCCAAUUCAACAUAACAGAUAAUGUAAUCCANNNNNNNNNNNNNNNNNNNNNNNNNNNNNNNNNNNNNNNNNNNNNNNNNNNNNNNNNNNNNNNNNNNNNNNNNNNNNNNNNNNNNNNNNNNNNNNNNNNNNNNNNNNNNNNNNNNNNNNNNNNNNNNNNNNNNNNNNNNNNNNNNNNNNNNNNNNNNNNNNNNNNNNNNNNNNNNNNNNNNNNNNNNNNNNNNNNNNNNNNNNNNNNNNNNNNNNNNNNNNNNNNNNNNNNNNNNNNNNNNNNNNNNNNNNNNNNNNNNNNNNNNNNNNNNNNNNNNNNNNNNNNNNNNNNNNNNNNNNNNNNNNNNNNNNNNNNNNNNNNNNNNNNNNNNNNNNNNNNNNNNNNNNNNNNNNNNNNNNNNNNNNNNNNNNNNNNNNNNNNNNNNNNNNNNNNNNNNNNNNNNNNNNNNNNNNNNNNNNNNNNNNNNNNNNNNNNNNNNNNNNNNNNNNNNNNNNNNNNNNNNNNNNNNNNNNNNNNNNNNNNNNNNNNNNNNNNNNNNNNNNNNNNNNNNNNNNNNNNNNNNNNNNNNNNNNNNNNNNNNNNNNNNNNNNNNNNNNNNNNNNNNNNNNNNNNNNNNNNNNNNNNNNNNNNNNNNNNNNNNNNNNNNNNNNNNNNNNNNNNNNNNNNNNNNNNNNNNNNNNNNNNNNNNNNNNNNNNNNNNNNNNNNNNNNNNNNNNNNNNNNNNNNNNNNNNNNNNNNNNNNNNNNNNNNNNNNNNNNNNNNNNNNNNNNNNNNNNNNNNNNNNNNNNNNNNNNNNNNNNNNNNNNNNNNNNNNNNNNNNNNNNNNNNNNNNNNNNNNNNNNNNNNNNNNNNNNNNNNNNNNNNNNNNNNNNNNNNNNNNNNNNNNNNNNNNNNNNNNNNNNNNNNNNNNNNNNNNNNNNNNNNNNNNNNNNNNNNNNNNNNNNNNNNNNNNNNNNNNNNNNNNNNNNNNNNNNNNNNNNNNNNNNNNNNNNNNNNNNNNNNNNNNNNNNNNNNNNNNNNNNNNNNNNNNNNNNNNNNNNNNNNNNNNNNNNNNNNNNNNNNNNNNNNNNNNNNNNNNNNNNNNNNNNNNNNNNNNNNNNNNNNNNNNNNNNNNNNNNNNNNNNNNNNNNNNNNNNNNNNNNNNNNNNNNNNNNNNNNNNNNNNNNNNNNNNNNNNNNNNNNNNNNNNNNNNNNNNNNNNNNNNNNNNNNNNNNNNNNNNNNNNNNNNNNNNNNNNNNNNNNNNNNNNNNNNNNNNNNNNNNNNNNNNNNNNNNNNNNNNNNNNNNNNNNNNNNNNNNNNNNNNNNNNNNNNNNNNNNNNNNNNNNNNNNNNNNNNNNNNNNNNNNNNNNNNNNNNNNNNNNNNNNNNNNNNNNNNNNNNNNNNNNNNNNNNNNNNNNNNCCGACUUACAUAUUAAAAUGACGUCGUUUAAAGCGUAAACCAUGUCGUAUGAUUUUCUGUACGACGUUAAAAUAUGUAUUCCACGACAGCAUCCGCCGUCGUUAAAAAUUAAUACCCUAAACCCAUAAAACUAAAUUAUACAAUUUAAAAAAGUAAGUUUAUAAAAGGUUUUAUAGUUUUAAAGCCUAACAUAUACCCUAGGACUACCCAAAAAUUAUACUUUAAAAAUAAACCCCAAUAAAUAACAACCCUAAUCUCUAAACCCUAGACUCUAAACCCUAAACCAUAAAACUAGAAGUGAUUUUAUGACUCAUCAAAACAAUUUUGUUUUGGAUGGUCAUUUUAAAUUUUUGUUAUUCAAAAUGAAUUUUUUCAAGGUUUAUGUGGAAGAAAAUAUAUCAAUGACUUCAUAGGAGAUGACUUUUCAAUUUUCUGAUUUAUUUUAAAUUUAUUUUGAAUAUUUUGAUAUAAAAAUAAUAAAAUAUUCUUACCACAACAACAAACCACGUCGGUGUUAAUAAAUUGUAGACGUUGUAAAUUGUAAUAGACUACUAAGUCGUUAAAAUGAGAAACCAUGGCGGCUAUUUAACUAUACGACGUAAAAUAUAUAUUCCACGACUUAACCGCUGUCGUUACAUAAACGUCGUCGAUGAUACCCUGAACCCUUAAGAAAUUGAAGAUGUUGUAAACCAUAAACGACUCAAUUGUUCAAAGAACGUCGUCUAACUAUAUUUUUACGUCGUAUUUGUUUAAAACACGAAACAACAAAAUACGACGGUUUUUGACUUUAUUAGGUCGUUGGAAAAGUAUUACACGUCGGUUAAGCAAUUUGUAUGUUUGUUUUUUUUUUAAUUUAAGAAAACCUCAACAAAUUUUUACAUUACAUAUUAUAGAGAAAAUUUGUACAUUAUACAUAAAUAUCAAGUGUUCAAUAAUUGCCCUGUUUAAUAAUUUGGAAAACAAACUCUGCCCAUUCAUUCCGGACUUCAUCAAUGGCUUCUUGGGGGUAUGAAGCUUCCUGGUUUCCCUUGGCAUACUGCAUAAACAAUGACUAUUAGGGUUUAUAAAUAAAAAGAAAUUCAAUCACAGACGACGAUAUUUUUCAUAACCGACGUAGUAUAUCCAUUCAACGACGUUAAUUUUACAUGACCGUCGUUGAUAAUACAAAAAACGACGUGAAAUGUAUGAAGGUAAUUUCUUCUUACCUUAUUCUCAAACCCCAAGGAAGGAUCCAUGAUGAUGUCCCUCAUGAAGCGCAUCACAUAAUACCCGCAUUCGACAUUGCUGGGUUGCUUUGGUGUGCCUGAGAGAGUUUUCCAAAUUACAUUUUUACGUCCUGCUCGGGCUAUGUGGGUAUUAUAUAUUUUUAAAGCACUGUUCACGAUAUUUUUCGCCUCUUCGUCGACCACACGAUGACCUGGCAGAGGAUCCAGAAAAUAGACGGUCUCCUUCUUUGCUCUUACAAUCAACAAGAUCCAAUGACGGCUGCACAAAAUUAAUAUAAAAACGACGGUUAUUUACAAAAACGACGUAUUAUAGUAUUUCACACGACGAAAUAAAGUAGAUAACGACGACAUUAUAUAUUUAUCACGACGAUAAAUAAAUACCGACAUGGUUAGUAGUUUCAAACGACUAAAUAAAAUAAAACACCGACGUGGUUAGUUUAUAAGCUGUCAUUUAUUGAAAAUCAUAAAAACAAAAUCCUAAGGAGACUAACCCUGGAUUGUAAGGCAUCAUGAAAAUCUGUUCACCGUCUGUCUUCUGAAGUCGAGCUGCUACCAGUUGUGAUCUUUCAGUUAUUGUGCCAGAGUUGGCACUAACUGUAGCAGGGUCGAUAAAGCCAACCAUGCUGCACAUAUUGGCUUGUUUCAAAACAUCGUGUAAGUACCUAAAUACAUAAAAUAAUAUAAACAAGUCAGCACAAACAAACACGACGGUUAUGUAUAAAAAAACGACGUAUUAUAAUAUUUCACACGAGGUACUGAAAUAGAUGAGGACGUUAUAAUAUAUUUAUCACGACGGUAGUUAGUUAAGACGACGUGGUUAGUUAGUUAAGACGACGCAAUAUAUAAACCAACGAGGUAUUAUUUUAGAAGUACAAACCUCAUAUAUACAGCCAAUACAGUAGCUCCAAUUUCUUCCAUGCCUGCAAAUUGUGUAAUAUCUUCUGGCAGGAGGAAGGUAUCGCGCUCACCACCAAACACCUCUUUAUCAAUUGUAAAUUGGAGUGUCUUAUCCUCAGGCAGGAGUGUCGUUUCCACAAAACGACAAAGGGUUUUUAAAGAAGAUGGCGCCUCCAUAUUUGAAUAAGCACCAACUUCAAAAAUCUGUUUAAAGAAAUAAAAAAAAUGACGUGGUAAUUCAAUAAAGACGACGGUUUAAGGAAUAAAACGUCGUCUUAAAAGUAUUUAAACGACGGUAAAAAAACUGUCGUGGUAAUUCAAUAAAGACGACGGUUUUAUGAAUAAAGCGUCGUCUGAAACCAUUUAAACGACGGUGCAAAAACCGUCGUUUAAAUAUUUUAUUACGUCUUAAAAAAAGUCCGCCGUCUAAGUUUUAAACAAACGACGGAUUAAAUAAAAAUAUCGACGUCUGAAAUUUUGAAAAACAAAUAAAAAAGGCAAAGUUAUGUAAACAUACCUUGUCGUCAUGCUUUUCUUCAUCUUCUUUCUCCUUUUCUUCUUCCUUCUCUUCAUCUUUUUUUUCUUCUUCCUUCUCUUCAUCUGGCUGAUGUUUCCCCAUUUUGGCAGUAUCAUCCUCCAAAUGUAGGGAUCUCACAUCACCUCCAGAGCAGCUAGCUUUGUCAGACAUUGGAUUUUUGGGGCUUUGGCUAAUUCUUGGUUUAAGCAUGCUUGGAUCAAAAUUGGGAAUUAAUUGGGAAAGCUGACUCAGGAAAUGCUCCCUCUCAGCCUCUACCAAUUGUUUUGUCCUAGCCUCCAUCCUUAAGGCCUCUUCCCUUGCCUUAGCCUCCAUCUUUUUAGUCUCUUCUUGAAGGAGAACUCUUAAACUGUCCUUCAAACGGUCGUCAAAGCUCACCCUCUGUGGUUUGGGCAAAUUGAAAUAUUGCCUUGGGGAAACACCAGCACCAACUCCCCUCACUCUGCCAGGAUGCUCGGGGCCCAAAGCCAUGGUCAGCACAUCAUUGCUGCCAUCUACUCUGACUUUGCCUUCCGAGAUUGUUUCUGCAAUUCAUCCUAAAAAAAAAUAAACAAAAAAACACACGACGGUUAUUUAUGUACAAACGACGUAUUAUAUAAUUUCACACGACGCAAUAACGUAUAAACCGACGUUAUUAUAACUUAUCACGACGGUAGUUAUACCGACGUGGUUAUUUAUUUAAAACGACGAAAUGAAUAAACAACCGACGUCUUAUGCUAUAAUUAAAGAAAACAGAGUAGUGAUUCCUAUUUAGACCGUUAACGACGUUUUUAAAAAAGUUUCGACGUGGUAAUAUCAUUCAAACGACGCCAAAAUGAACCACCGACGUCUUAUGCUAUAAUUACAGAAAACAUAGUAGUGAUUCCUAUUUAGACCUUUAACGACGUUUUUAAAAACUUCUCGACGUGGUAAUAUCAUUCACACGACGGAAAAUAUAACAUACGACGUAAUAAGAAUAAUUCACAGUUUAAUAAAAAUUUAAAACAGAGUGAUAGUAGGCUUACAAUUAAUUUUGCUUUCUCUGCCACCUUUGGAUCAGGGAUGUUACCAUGUUUGUCCUGUCUAGCUCUCUUCCAUAAGGUAGAUCGAUCAAUUUCUACCCCAGGCAUGGUUUCCUCCAAUUGAUCCUCCAAUCCAGCAUAUCCUUUUCGAGACAAUCGAUGAUUGUACUCGAGUUUCUCCCUAAUCUGUGCAUGUUGAGAAUGCACAGACUCAAAAUCUUUGGAUAGCCUUGAAGCUACAAAGGCAUCCCAUUGUGCUUUCUCUAUGAAUUUAUAUGUUUCAGGGGGUUGGCUUAAUUUCUCCCUGUCAUUGGUGUAUGGAAGGAUAUAACGCCUCGUUAGUGUAGACUUGAAAUCCUUCCAUUUCUUGGAAGCAGAAGCUAAAACAGAGGUCUUGCCCCCUUGGCCUACGACAAAAGCCAUGUCAACUGCUUCCCAAAUCUGCUCCUUUAUAUCCUUGGGGAUUUGGGACCAUUUCUUGUCCACAAGUGGGAUCCUGGAGCGUGCCAACACACCAAUAUACGACUGCAUCUCAAUAUGUGCUUGGCCAACACCUUUCCCCCUUUUAUUGUACUCAACAAUUGGCCUCAGUUUCUGAAGCUUUCUCUUCACAACACAAGGCAUUGUGCUCAUACCUCGACCAGUCUUUGAAUCAUCAGAGAUUGUUGUCUGGCUGGUUGGUUCUGUCUCAGCAGAUGAUGAAGCAAACUUCAUCUUCUUCGAAGACUUCAUCUCCUUCGAAGACUUGUCUUGAGGAGCUACCAUUCCAAGCUUCUUGGAGCCAGAAUCCUUAGUUUGUUGUUGAGAAACCAUUUUAACAGACAAAACUGCAAGUGAAAAUAUUUCAGGAAAACAUUAAGAACACAAACGACGGUAUUAAAAAAAUACGACGUAUGAUAUGAUUUUAGACGACGCAAUGAAAUAAUCUCAGACGUAAUAAAUGUUUAAAACCAUUAUUUAUAUAACGUCGUGGUAUAUAUGUUCACACGACGUCAAUAGUAAUACACCGUCGUGGUAAAACUAUUAUUUAUAUAACGUCGUGGUAUUUAUGUUCAUACGACGUCAAUAGUAAUACACCGUCGUGGUAUUAACAUUCACACGACGUAAAACAAUAAGAUAUUUUGUCGUCUAUAUUAGAUACCAACCCUAGUUUCUUUUUCUUUAUAUUUUAUCAAAUAAGGGAAAAACAAAAACCAUUGUUCAGAGAAAUCAAACCUGCAAUUAAACAAGCAUAUAAAAAAAGACUAUUAUUUUAAAAACAACUUUGUCAAUUUUCAGACGACGCUAGAACAACUGACGAACCGUCGUGGUCUACCGUCGUCUUAUUUAGUUGAGGUAGUUGUCUUCAAAGUUGGAAACUUUCCCUCUUUGUCUGUAUAUUUUAUCAAACUUGGAAAGAAGUAAAAUGAUUUUGGCCAGAAAAAAGGUAAAAAGAUUUUUCAAACAAAAAACGUAUGAGCAUGCAAAACAGUAACCAAAAUAGUGAAAAUGAAAGCUUACCUUUUGCGUGCAAUGAAAGCAAGAGGAAGAUGAUCGAUGUUUAAGUUCAGAGACGACGAAGAAGACGAGAGGAAGACGAUGAGAAACUCUGACAAUGCUCUGACAAGGAAAAAAGACGAAAAGGUUUCUCUAGGAGAUUGAAAUUUUUAAUCGGGUUUGGAAACAGUGCAUGUGUAAGUCGAAAAGUUGCUUACAUAUAAAACCAUUUCAAAAAAAAUAAUACGGCGGUUACAUUUAACUACGUCGUUUUUAACUAACACGACGCAAUAUUUUUCGUUCGACGUGGAAUCAUUUCAUUUAACGUCGUUAGGUUUAAUAUAACCGACGUGGAUUUUAAUUUUUAAAUUAUGAAUAGAAUUUUUUUUCCCGUGACCUUUCAGUUUAUUUUUCAAUUACAGUGCGUUAUAAAUAGAGUUUUUUUUCCGGAGGAAAUUUAAAACGAAGGAAAUUAAUAUUCUUCAAUAUGUAAAAUUUCUUUUUUGGAUGACAGAUUUAAAUAAAAUAAGAAUAUAAAAACAACUAAUGUGUAAGUCAAGUAGACGAAAAGUUGCUUACAUAUAAAACCAUUUCAAAAAAAUAAUACGGCGGUUACAUAUAACUACGACGUAUAAAUUACAAAAUACGACGGUACAUUUAACUUCGGACGUGGUAAAUAAAUACGACAGUAGUUUGUAGGUACCGUCGUAGUAAACUCAAAAAUUAAAGUACAUAAGUAAUAACUCGCGUCAUGGUAGAUUAUUUAACACGUCGUUUUUAUUAAUUUACCGACGUGGAUUUCUGUAAUAUACGUCGAUAAUACCGACGCUGAUUUUACAAUUUAAACGGCGGUUUUUUUGUAAGGACCGCCGUUGGUUUUAAAAAUUUAUUCUAUAAAUUUGUCGCUUUCAUUCAUUUUCGGUUUACAUUUAAGGUUCCAAGUUCUUCCUCUCUCAGUCUCUCAUGUCUCAAAGACAAUAAUUUGGAUGUUUUCUCAAAGAGAAAUUGAGCUUACUCGCAUCAAAUAUAUGUCCACAAGAAGAAGCUUGUCAACUAGCCUUCUCACUUCCUUGAUCAAGCCUGAUAGGACACUUAGUGCUUCUGAAUACUCCUUGCUUUCCAUCAAAAGAGAUGCAAGCCUGGCCUCCACUCGCUGUCGAAGGAAAGUUCGCUUCUCAGGGAAAUCUGAAGAUCAGAUGUGCCUGAUCCUCUGCUUGAUUUUCUUGCCUAAGAAGAUCCGUCGGAUUUGUGAUAGCCUCUUCCUUUAUCCGUAGAGCUUCAGAAGAAGAAGAUGGGUUUCAAGAAUGCGAUAAAGAAUAGAAAUGGCUUCAGAUGGCCUCUAAAGCAUGAGCAAUUGAAUCAGUAGUUUCUGGGAGAUAUGAUGAAGACAUUGUCAAUGCUUUGAACUAUACAAGUCCUGCAGAAAGAUAUGUUAAAGAAACUGAAACAACGGCGGUUUUCUGUUCUACCGUCGUCUUUUCUCGUCGUCUAUAUUAAGUUAAGAUGGCGGUAGAUUUAUAAUUACCGACGUAGAUUAUUUUGUUAAACGUCGUUAAGUGUACUACAACCGACGUGGAUUUUAUUUUUAAAUUAUAAAUAGAGUUUUUUUUCCCGUAUUCUUUCAGUUUUAGUUUUCAAUUCCAAAGCGUGAUAAAUAGAUUUUUCUUUCCCGAGGAAAUUUAAAAUCAGGGAAAUUAAUGUUCUAAAAUUUGUAAACUAACACGACGCAAUAUUUGCAAAUCUGUGUCAUCUGUUAAGAUUAUGAUGUGGAACAGAGUUCCAUCUGGUAAGAUUUCGUAACCCUUGGGAUCUCAGACAAAUCUGAUUAUGUCGGCGGUGUUCUAUAUAAACCGUCGUGGUUAUUUCAAUUCUUGUCAUUAAGUAGAUCUACCGCCGUAGGAUAAGAAAAUCAAAGAAAAAAAUUGUUAACAAAAAUUCUUAUUAAGACGACCGUUAAAAUUAAAGGUACGACGUAUAAAAUGAAUAAAUACGACGUUAAAUUUUAUUGUACGAUUUAAAGAUAACGUCGUAGAACUAUACGAGAAUGACGUCGAUAUAUUUAUAUUUUCCGUCGUUGUAAAUUAAUUUAAUACGGCGAUAUUUUGUAUUUUAAAGCCGUGGAUUUGUUUGUAAUUAUACGGCGUCUUAUACGAAAACCUCGUCGUGUUAUUUUAUGAGUAAAAACGGCCGUUUUUAUUGAAAUCGUCGUCUUUACUUUCUACGUCGGUCGAUUCAUAACUUCUGCCGUUCUUUGUUGGCAUUGAUUUUACACUGCGGAAAUCUGUUUCAAAUAGACGUCGGUUGUUUAAUUAUGUACGUCGUUGUUUUUGAACAGCCAUUUGAAUCUCCAUUUUUUAGUUGUCUAAGGUUGUAUUACACGACGGUAUUUUUAGAACCGUCGUCUUUUUAUAAACCACGACGGUUUUCACUUAGACCGUCGUUGUUUUCUGGUCGUCUUUUUCACUUUUUGUAGUAGUGUUGUGAAGUGAAAUAAGAUCACUAAUAUGACAUAAGGUUUUCUGGGAGAGACAUGUGGUUUUAGUCUCCAAUCUCAUCGUAAAUGCAUCCACAUUUCUAUAAGUGCGGUUGUUACUUUAACGCAAAACUUAUAGUAUGUGUUAAAUGCAUAUUUAUUAAGACUAUAUGGUACAUGGAAAUCCUCAAAGCUCAUGAAAUAUUUGAGAUAUAUCGGAUGAAGCAACCUCUUGAAAGAUAUAAAGUACCACACUAUUCUUAAUUAAGAGUUAACACUAAGAGUUUGAGUAUUUUGAAUUCAAAUUUGAUAUUGUUGUAACAUAUUCUAACUACUAAAUUAGUUGUUGAUACUCCUAAAGAUUUCAAUCAUUUGAAAAGUGAAAAGCAGGUUGAAUAGUGUGAUAGAUGAUCAUGUAUGAAGACAAUGUUGCUUGUAUUGCUCAAAUCAGAGAAGGAGAGAUAUUAAUCAGGGGGAGAUAUCAAUCAGGGGGAGCAUCCCAAUUCUACUACAUUCAAGGCAGAUGCGCGUUGUACUCUUUUUCCCUUCGACUAGGUUUUUGUCCCACUAGGUUUUUCCUAGCAAGGUUUUAACGAGGCAAUAUAAGCUCAUCCAUCACCAUAUCAAUGAUUCAGAAGAAAGUUUCACUCUUUUUCCCUUCGCUUUGGUUUUGUCCCACUGGGUUUUCCAAGCAAGGUUUUUAAUGAGGAAACAAUGUCAUUGUAUGGUGGACAUCCAAAGGGGAGUGUUGUAAAUGCAUGAGUUGGUGGAUGACCACCAUACCUCUUAAUAUUCCACCGUUGGAUUUUAUGUAACCUAUGCACUAAGUAUUUGUAAUUAAUGCUUGUAACCUAUAGGUAUAUUGUAAAUGAUGGUAUUCAAUCUCCUAUCUUGUAAGCCUAUAAAUAGGUGGUUUUACUAAAGAUUUAGUGGGAAUAAACAUGAUGAAACUUUGUCUUUAGCAUAUCACUUCUCUCUACAUUUUCUCCCUCUAGUUUUAUAACAAAAAAGUAUAUAUUGAUAAUUUCUCAUUUAAUUAAUAAUUUUAAGUCUUAAUAUUUAUAGUAACUAAGGGUAUUUUCUGGUAUUUUGACUGUUUCACCGUUAUAUAUAUAGAUGACAUACCCAUUUUUUUAUCUGAAUAAUAGCAGUGCAUUAGGUAAAAAUUCACGAACAGAGAGGCUUGUAUACUUUGAAUUAAUUAACAUUUGGAUUGAGCCUAUUAUCAUGGAAACAAAGUAUAAAAUCCUACAACUGUGGAAACAAAUUCCAGUCUACUUUAUUAACUCAAGUGGAAAUUUGUAGGUCGUAUAUUAAAUAAUUUAGAGAUUUUUUAUUGAUGGAAAUUUUAGGGAUUGAAAACGAACAUUAAAGGGAGUGCCCAAAUAAAAAGAGACGAGGAGCUAUUGAUAUGCUAGAAAUAGGGAGUAUUAAUUACAAAUUAGGGAGAGUUAAUGACACACUUAAAAAUAAUUAUAAUAAAAUAUGCAGAUACAUGGCAUAUGUUGUAAUUAAUUUAUAAUACUCGGACAUAUUUGUCAUAUAAUAUAGGUUUUGCAAUAUGUAUUUAAGUUAAGGAUUGGUUACAUAUUUCUUAGUUCGGCCGUUGGAUUGCAUUCAUGAUGUAGAACAGAUGGCAGAUUUUAUCGCGGUUGAGCUAGAAAAAGGACGUAGUGGGAAUAUACAGUUUUGUCGUCCAAGCUCCGAUUAGGACGCAAAAUACCAUUUUGGAAAGGGAACGACGCCACGAGUGUAACACACAGCUUGGCUGUGACAUAUGAUGGAUUUUGGCAUUCUGAGGUCGUUUGGCCUUCCAAAACUGCAGUUAAAGUUUGGUAGUUAAUUUUCCAAUAAAUUCUAUUUUGGACAGUUUAGGAGUUACGUUAUUAAGACUCCAAAUUAAUCCUGUUUUUCAGUUUUAUGUAAUAACUCCCCUAGUAGUUGAAGGGUUGAGGGUUGUUGAGAAUUGUGUAUUUAGACAGGUUUGUCUAACGUUUCUAGCAACUCAGUUUUUAAUAACAUUAUUCCAAGAGAGCUUCUCUUAAUUUUCUGGUGGAAUCCAGUUUUUAUUGUUACUCAAGGUUUCGCUUGAAACCUUUGUUGCUUGUGCUGCGUCAAUUCAUUAGAUGUAUUAGUAGAUUAAAUAUGUAACAUACAUGCAAUAUUAUCCAAAUAUAUAAUCAAUCCUUCACAUAAAAUACUUAUUCGAGAAUCUCCCCUAUCUUACAUUGCAACAUAUUUUAAAUUUGGGUUUUAAGUAAAAUUUUAAAAAUAGAUGAGUUAAUAUCUAGGAUCCAGGAGUUGCAAGGUCCUAUAUCUGAGGAACCCUUUUUUGUUUCUUCACAGAAUGAUUAUAUUCAUUCUUGAUGAAGAUAGAAUUAACUAAAAAAGUAGUUGCAAUUAUUAAUGUAGGUAACGCGCCUAACAUGUGGAGGCUUCAUCCUUGGAUUGCGGGUAAACCACACAAUAUGUGAAUGUGACGCAGUAGGGUUGGCCCAAUUCUUGAACGCAAUUGGGGAGAUGGCCAAAGGAGCAGAUUCACCAUCAAUUCCACCACUGUGGGCACAAGAGCUCCUCAAUGCCAUAGAUCCACCGACAAUUACACUUCCGCAUUACGAAUAUGAGCAAUUGCUUGAUUCACAAGGCUCCUUCAUUAUAGACCAAUCAGACAUGGCCCAACGAUCCUUUUAUUUCGGUCCACAGCAGAUUACAGCCCUCAGGAAACAUCUUCCACCCCACCUUUCCACUUGCUCCUCAUUUGAGCUCAUAACAGCCUGCAUCUGGAAGUGUCGAACGCUUUCACUGAGACUGAAUCCAAAAGACACUGUUCGCCUUUCCUGCAUCAUCAACGCCCGCGGGAAGCGCAUGGAUGACCUAUGUCUCCCCUUGGGAUUCUACGGCAAUGCAUUGGGUGUCCCGACUAUCGUUUCAACGGUAGAACUUGUGUGUGCAAGUCCACUGGGAUAUGGUGUGGAGUUGGUGAGGAAGAACAAAGCUCAGAUGGGUAAAGAAUACAUGCAAUCACUGGCCCAUUUUUUGGUGAUCAGAGGACGGCCUCCGCCUCCAAUGGCUUGGAAUGUGUUUAUAGUUUCUGAUAAUAGACACACUGGUUUGGGAGAGUUUGAUGUUGGGUGGGGAAGACCAGUAUAUGCUGGACUUGCGAGGGCAGUCCAUGUGAUCAGCUUCUAUGUCCGAGAAAACAACCAAGAAGAGGAAUUUAGAAUUUUGGUGCCCAUAUGCUUGCCAAGAAUGUGUUUGGAGAGGUUUGAGCAGGAGCUCAAGAGGAUGAUAUUGGAGCACGUCGAUGAUGUAUCUAAAUAAGACGCAAGGAUUAUGUGUGUGUGAUUAAGUCUAGUUGUCUUGUGUUGUGUGGGCUAUCAUUUCUAUGGUAGAGUGGGUUUGUUUUCCUCUAUAUGCCUCUUUGCAUUUGGAGUCAGUUUUUUGUUUUUUUGUUUUUUUUGUUUUAAGAAAAUUUCGCAUCAGUCCAAUUCUAAUAAAAGACCAGCAUCCUUUGUAACCUGUUGGCUUGGAAUUACAUUCAAAGCUCAACAGGUCUUGGGUUCGACUGGUAUCGGAUCGAUGUCAAAAUAAGAGAUGUUGGGUGCAACCCACGCAUAAGUUGUUGAUCUAAGUCCUUUGACCACAUGCCUUUUUUUAUUUAUGGAUAUUCAAAUUUAAUUUUUUUUAAUUUUUUAAAAAUCAUUUUGUUGUUCCAAUUAUGCAUUAAGAAGGUAAAUUAUGAAUUUGUAGAACUGGUAAGUUAUUGAUUUGUAGGACAUUAAUUAUUAGAUUUGAUUUAAAUUUUAUUGGAUAUGAGAUUUAGAACAUAUCCUUUGAAUAGAAAUGUAAUAUACACCAGACACAUCCCUUAAAUCACAUCUCCGCUUACAAAUAACACAACACUAUGCCAAAAAUCAUAAAGAUGUCUCUUUCCCAAGUAUACCAACCUAAUUUUUUUAAUCGGAGUUCAUGGAAACUUCAUACCUUAACAAUAGGUAAGGUACCUAUGCAUACACCUCUUGUGCAGGUAACUAAACCCAUAAACCAACUUUAGUCUAGGUCUAGUGUAGGUAAUUAAACCGAAAAGCCAGCUCUUGUCCAAAUAAUUAUACGCGUAAACUGCCUUUAGUCUAGGCAAUUAAACUAAUAUAAUACCUUUGGUAUGCAUCUUUAAACUCAUACUUAAAGUAAAAAGUACCUAUCUAAAAGGUUACAGAAAAAGGGAAAAGAAACUCACAUCUCCACAACAAGUAUACUCACACCUAAGUAUAUUGAAACUCCAUAAAAAUUGCUUUGGAAAACCCAAGAAAAAAAAAAACCUGGAAGACAUCUAUGCGUGUGUAUUAUAUAUAGAGAGAGAGAGAGAGAUUCAAUUAAAAUCACUUGAAUCCUAUAUGAUUUGACCAUUCAAUUAAAUUAUUGAAAUUUGAGGAUUUCUUGAAGCAUCGUGUUCAUUGAUUUUGUUGGUCUCAAUCAGAUGCCUUAAUGAUUUUCAAAUUAUCUGAAUUUUUGCAAGAAUGAUCUAUGAAUUUUUUUUUCUUGCAUUGUAGGUUUUUCAUGGAGUAAUCUUGUUCGUUUAUGUCAGUCUUGAAGUUGGAUCAUCUGCUGUACUUUGGAUUUAACAUCUUUGGUGGUGUUCGUUUUGCAGUCAUGGAACUUCACAUUCAAGUGAUCAUGUUUGUAGUACUCCAACUUCUCAUUCAAUAACAUCAGAGCGUUCUAGUAUUCUCUUGAAAUGUAUUUUGAAAUGUAUAGGAUAGCAGGUGGGGUUAAAUUUGAAGAGUACUAAGAGCAUCUCCAACAGAGUUGCUAUACUCUGAUUCUUAACCAUUUUGGCUAGAAUGAGGGAAAAACGCAACUUCAGUAGAUUUGCUAUUAAGCUCUCUAUUGUGGACAACUCUCUAUUUGAGUUUGGUGGCUCUCUACAUAUAGAGAGGAGGAGAGAGAAAUUGAGGGUCCAUAGAAGUAAUUUUACAAAGGCAUUAAUUUGUAUUUAAAAUUUUAAAAAUAAAAUGAGUAGGAAAAUAGGAUAGGAAAUGGAAAUAAUAGCACUUAAUGAAAAAGGAAUGAAGAACGUGAAUCAUUCAAAAUGCAUGAGAAAUUGAAGAAUAAUUUGAAUCACUAAUCGAAACCACAUUCACACGCGGUGGCAUCCGUAAGACCAAUAAUUUUAUGGUGUCUGUUGGUCCCAAAUAAGACCAAUAAUUGUAGCAUGUCUGUUUCUAGAGGUGGCAUCCUUAAAAUGGACCACAUGUGGGUCUGCCUUCUUGAAAAGAUUGUACAAAUUAAUUAGUGAUGAGAAAAAUCGGGUGAAAUGUAUACUUUUCUCUUCAGCAAUGUGACACAAUUAAAUGUUGAAGGAUUACAGAAUUAAAAAAAUUCAUUUAACAAACAAAUUGAAAACUGAGGAAGAAAUAGGGGACUAUAGAUAUAAUCUUGUAAUAAUGGAAUUCAUUGUCUUUGAAAAUGGUGAAUCUCCAUAUUCAUGCAGGUUUUAGCUUCAAGAAGUUAGAAUAUAUGUAUUCACAGGCCUGAGUGGCUUUGGCUCUUCUUCCUUUCUCAAAUACAAAGAUGAAAAUGGGGUAUUGGUACCAAUAUGCUUGCCAUUAUCGGACAUGGAGAGAUUUCAGCAGGAGCUCGAGAGGAUGACUCUGGAGCCUCUGAAGGAUAUUUAUGACAAUAAAUCAGCUAGGAUCACGUCAAGGAUGUAAAAAAUUCAUCAAAUGUCAGAUCGCUUAGUGUAUGGUGUCAAUGAAUUUUGGAAUGUAACAUAAGAACUAGAUGCAAGGUUUGUGUCAACAUAAAAAUAAAUUGCAAUCUAAUUGGCAAUGUGCUGUAAUUCGGGGAAAAAUAAAACAUAAUUUGGUGUUUGUGAACCAUAAUUGAAAUCCACGCGUACAAAUGAGUUCAUAUUAUAUGGGUAGACACUUACCUUCCUCAAACUAAACAUAGAAGGAUUGAAUAAUUGUGAAUGAUAUUAUACUUCUCUAAGAGGAGGAUAUAUAUACAAGUACAAGUUGACUUUUCUUACAAGGAAAAGUAAUUAGCUAAUUACAAGGAAUCCUAACUAGGUAACUAUUCGAAUUAUACAGGUAACAUGAAUUACUCCAAGAAAUCAGGGAUCACGGAAUUCCUGAAUUAUGGCUCACGCCAAUAUUACCCCUCAAGUUGGUGCAUGGAUAUCUCCUAUGCCCAACUUGUCAAGUGAUUUAUGAAAAACCUUUGCUAACACCACGUGCGUAAAGACAUCUGCCAUCUACUCUUCUGACAUUACAAUGGUAUAUUGAUUAGCUUAUCUACCAGUUUCUCCUUGAUAUAAUGCCUAUCGACUUCAACAUGCUUAGUUCUAUCAUGUUGAACUGGAUUAUUUGCUAUCUCUCUCGCAGCUUGGUUGUCACAGUAAAGCUCAAUGACUUUCUUUGGUGGAAAACAAAUUUUGGACAUGAGUAUCCUUAGCCAAUAAAGCUCGAAAACUCCAUGUCCUAUGCCCCUGUAUUUUGCCUCAGUUGAAGAUCGAGCCACUACAUUCUGCUUUUUACUUCGCCAUGUAACCAUAUUACCCCCAAUGAAAGUGAAGUAACCUGAUGUAGAACGUUUAUCUGUUAUAUUACUUGCCCAAUCUGCAUUUGUAUAACCCUUGACAUCCAAAUGUCCUAGUUUUCUGAAUAUCAAACCUCGGCCUGGUGCUUUCUUCAAAUAACUGAAAAUCCUCAUAAUUGCUGCUAAGUGAUCCUCACUAGCAGAAUGCAUGAACUGGCUAGCAACACUAACUGCAUAUGUGAUAUCUGAUAUAGUGUGUGAAAGAUAAAUUAGUCUUCCCACUAACCUCUGGUAUCUCUCCUUGUUGGUUGGCACUUUGAUCAUGAUAGAUUGCUAGUUGAUGAUUCCGCACAAUAGGGGUUUCGGCUGAUGCACAUCCUAACAUACCAGUUUCUGUUAAUAGGUUUAGAACAUACUUCCUUUGAAAGAGACAAAUACUAGUAGUAGAGCGAGUUACUUCGAUUCCCAAAAUACUUCAAAGCCCCCAAGUCCUUCAUCUCAAACUCUAAGGCUAAGUACUUCUGUAAUUUACCUAUUUCAACAAUAUCAUCAUCAGUAACUACUAUAUCAUUGAAUAUGUUAUCAACAAACUAAUCUUACCAUCCCUACGUUUGAUCAAUAAGGUAUGAUUUGAGUUACCUUGAUGAUAUCCAUACUUCUUCAUUGCUUCAGUGAACCACCCAAACCAUGCUCGCGGAAACUGCUUCAAUCCAUAAAGGGCCUUUUAAAGCCUACACACCUUCCAACUAUUAUUAGACAACCUAUAGCUAGGUGGCAUGUCUAUGUACACUUCUUCUUCUAGAUGUCCAUGAAGAAAGGCAUUCUUCACAUUGAAUUACUUGAGAGGCCAAUCUAAAUUAGCUGCUAAGGACAAUAGAACUCGCACCAUAUUUAUUUUUACCACCGGUGCAAACGUAUCCUGAUAAUCGACUCUAUAUGUAUGCGUAAACCCUUUGGCCAUAAGUCUUGUUUUAUAUCUAUCUAUCGUGUCAUCAGCUUCGUGUUUAACUGUAUACACCCAUCGACAUCUAACAAGUUUCUUUCCUUCAGGUUGCAGAACUAUCUCGCGUGUUCUAUUCUUCUGUAAGGCCUCCAUCUCCAUAUUCAUUACUUCCACCUAUUUUGGGUCUUGCAAAGCUUCUUCCAUUCUAUUAGGAAUUUGAAUUCCUUCCAUCUGAUUGAAAAUUGUUUUAGCGUGAGGAGACAAUCUGUGUGUGGAGACAUAAUCAACAAUGGCAUAUUUCACCUUGCCUUCUGGUGAGAACUUGUGUGGUGGUAUUCCUUUGUUUGCUCAUGAAGGUAAUUUUUCACAAUUUGAACAGUAUUUUAAGAAGCAUUGGGAUAUGAAGGACUUACCUCAUGGAUGUUCAAUGGAGCAUGUGCAAGUAUGUUAGAGAGAGGGGGGUUGUUGUUGUCCAAUUCGAGAUCGCUGAUAUCCAGUUUGGCUCGGCUGUUUAGCUUGGCUCGGCUGGACUGGUCAGUAGCCUGAUUCUAGUAGCUGCUUGGCUAGACUUAUGUGCUUUCCGUAUUAUAUUAUCCCCUUGAAAGACAUGAUUGGGCAUGUCUGACACAAAAAACAUACUUAUUAAAACAAAAAGAGAGAAUCCAUACUUAAAAGCAAGUACAAAAUAAGUGAUGGAAAACAAGGAAAUAUAUAUAUACACACACACAGACGAUCCACAUUUUGUAAACCUACGGUUGUCCACUUUGUAACUUAUUUUUUUGUAGAAGAGGUGGAUUUGAUUCGUGCAAUUCCAAUUAGCACUAGAAAGCUAUUGGAUUCAUUGAUUAAAAAUGGCAGUUUAGUACAAAGUGCUUAACACGUUGCAAGAGCGUUGAGAGCAACCAAUGGUACUGCUUCUUCUUCUGCAUCUCCAUAUUCCCAUAUUUGGGAUACUUUUUGGGGGGCCCACACCUCUGCCAAGGUGAAAGUAAUCUAGCAGCAUGUAAGCUUUUACUUGCAUAUACAUAUAUAUUGGCAAAUUUGUGGAUAACCGUAGUUUAACAAAAGAACAGAGAGAGAAGGAGGAGAAAUCACGCAGAAGAGAAGAGAAAGAAGAUCAGGAUCGAGUCUAGGCGACUGAUACCAUGUUAACAGUAUAAGGAAGAAGAAUUGAGGCUAAAGGAAGAAGAUGAAUAUUGAAGAAGAACUCUUUUAUUUUCAAUCGUAUGAACAAUUACAGAGAGAUUGUGUUUUAUAUCAGAUCUUUAGCCUAUAACUAAUGCUUAACAGACUAACUAAUUACAGCUGUGACAUGUGAGCCACACGUGCCAACACUAACAAACUCUUAGCUAACUAUUACUGUUAUCACACAUCAGCAUUUUUAACAGGAUUUUUGACGGACUUGACAGUACUGGGAAUAGUGAAACACAAAACAUCGGUUAAGGGAGUAAAGUAGGUCACUUUAAGUUUUAUGGUGUAAUGCGAGAUUUUAUCAUAGUUUCAGCUUCAGGGAUACUGUAAUAAUUAAGAAAAAGGAAUGAAGAACGUGAACCAUUUAAAACGCAUUAGAAAUUGAAGAAUAAUAAGAUUCAUGAAUGGGAAGAAUUAUUAACUCAAGCCCACCAUGUCAAGACAGAACGAACCUUUUACAUGCGUUGUCCUCCUCAUGUUGUGUAUGUGUUGUACCUGUUGCUAAUUGAACUGUGAAGUGUUCAUCUUAUCCACAUAUACGUUAACAAAUAUGAACCCGCAAAUUUUGAACCGUCAGUAAUAAUCAGAGCUUAUAAUAUAAACCAAGUAUUUGUAGUGUAGGACCUUAUAUAUUUGGUGUAAAAUAUAACCUGUAGUGUAGGACAUGAUCCAACGGCCUCAGAGCCUUGAGGUGUGGCUGGGAGGUGGAGGUUGACAAGGUGGUGGGUGGUUGUUGGAGAGAGAGCAGAUAGAAUGGUGGUGGCGGCUGGGAUUGGAUUGGAUGGUGUUGUCUUGUUUUUUUUAAUUUCUUUUUAUUUUGAGGAUCUCAUUUUUAUUUAUGUAGUUUUUAUAUAUUUAUUUUUAAAAUUGAAUUCAAUUAUUUAUAUAUUAGUUUUUUGAAUUUUUUUAACCAUAAAUUAACGGAUUGGACCACAUUGCCUAACAGUACUAAACACAAUGACUAAUAAAUUGGCCAAAUUGUAAACAUGGAGACUAAAUUGGCCAACACUUUAAGACACAGAGACCAUCUUGACAUUUAAGUCUAAAAUAUAUCUGACUCUUCAUUAUAACCAUUAAUAAAGAACAUAAGAGGGUUUAGAACACCCAACUUUUAAUGCUUUUGAAAUUGAUUUUGGAUUUUUUUUUAUAAAAAUAAGCGAUAGUUUAGUAGAAUGGAAACAAUGUUACAAAGAAAUGAAUUUGUCUUUAAAAUUUUGAAGAUAAGGUGGGUGAGAAACUAGAGUGUACAUAGCAACACUCAAUGAAAAAGGAAUGAAGAACGUGAUGCUAAAAUAUGAAAACUAUGAGAGAAUAUUUGUUUCUGAGAAUUUUCUGUGUAUUCUUCUCCUUGUAAGAGGUCAUAUUUAUAAUACAACGAAACCUGAAUGGGCAAGUAAAUAAUAAAUUCCUAAAUCUAUUUACAGUAGGAAAUCAGGAAUUAAAGUAAAUCAAUUACAAUUAUAAUAGGAAUUCUUGGUGUGUAAGGAAAGUAAGUCAAUAUCCACAAGUCACGCCAACACUCCCCCUCACGUUGGUGCAUAGAUGUCGCCAAUGCCCAACUGAUCUAGUGAAUUGUGAAAUGCUUUACUGGAAAUUGCCUUUGUCAAAAUAUCCGCUAAUUGAUCCUCGGAUUUCACAAAAGGAAACUAAAACACUUUAGCCUCAAGAUUCUGUUUGAUGAAGUGUCGAUCCACCUCAACAUGUUUAGUACGAUCAUGUUGAACCGGAUUCUGUGUAAUGGCUAUAGCAACCUUGUUGUCACAAAAGAGAUUCAUUGUAGAUGUAGGUUUAUACCCAAGUUCAGUAAGCAACUUUCUUAACCAAAGAAGUUCACAAAUCCCUUUAGUCAUGCCUCUGAACUCGGCUUCUGCACUGGAUAAAGCUACUACAUUCUGUUUCUUGCUUCUCCUUGUCACCAAAUUACCUCCCACGAAUGUGAAGUAACCUGAUGUGAAUUUUCUAUCUGUUACAUUACCUGCCCAAUCUGCAUCUGAAUAACCAUCGAUAUUUAGAUGACCAUGCUUUGAGAACAUAAGUCCUUUUCUAGGUGCAGACUUCAAAUAUCUAAGUAUCCGAAGAACUGCAUUCAUGUGGUCUUCGCUUGGAGAGUGCAUAAAUUGACUAACAAAGCUCACUGCAUAAGCAAUGUCUGGUCGAGUAUGUGACAAAUAGAUCAAUCUUCCCACUAACCUUUGGUAUCUUUCUUUGUUAGUUGGAACUUGAUCCGGAUAUUCUCCAAGAUGAUGAUUCUGAACAAUAAGAGUGUCCGCAGGUUUACAAUCUAGCAUUCUUGUGUCUGUCAACAAGUCUAAGACAUAUUUCCUUUGAGAGAGAAAUAUGCUUUGCUGCAAUCGAGCCACCUCAAUUCUCAAGAAAUACUUGAGUCCACCUAGAUCCUUCAUCUCAAACUCCGUAGCCAAAUAGUCUUGUAGCUGUGAUAUUUCUUGUUUAUCAUUCCCAGUAAUAAUCAUAUCAUCAACAUAGAUUAUUAAUAUUGUUACCUUCCCUUUUCGAUGUUUCAAGAACAGAGUAUGAUCUGAGUUGCACUGUUUGAAACCAUUGUUCUUCAUUGCCAUGGUGAACCGUCCAAACCAUGCACGUGGUGACUGUUUCAAUCCAUACAAUGCUUUUCGUAACCUGCAAACUAUUCCAGUCUGAGUAGUAUUAUAUCCACGAGGAAUGUCCAUGUACACCUCCUCCGUGAGUUCGCCAUGUAGAAAAGCUUUCUUUACAUCAAAUUGGUGUAGUGGCCAAUCCAAAUUAGCUGCAAGGGACAAUAAGACUCUGACGGUGUUUAACUUUUCAACUGGAGCAAAGGUUUCUUCAUAGUCUAUACCAUAGGUCUGUGUGUACACUUUUGCCACAAGUCUUGCCUUGUAUCACUCGAUAAAUCCAUCUGCAUUGUGUUUUAUAGUAAACACCCAUCUAUACCCGAUAGUCUUUUUUCCUCAGGGUAUAGUCUUCAAUGUCCAAGUCUGAUUUUUCUCAAGGGCUUUCAUCUCCUCUUUUAUAGUUUGGACCCACUUAGGAUCUUUCAAUGCUUCAGAGACCUUGGUUGGAAUAUGGAUAGCAGACAACUGAUGCACAAAAGCCUUGAGUGGUUCAGACAGCUUCUUAGUGGAUACAUGAUUUGCAAUUGGAUACUUGGAUGUCUUGCCAAUAUCAGGUGAAUAACGGUUUCCUGGCUUCCCACGAUUUUGCCUGAAAGGUAAUUGAUAUCCAAUAGUUUUAUCAUCUAAAUGCACAAGUCUAGUAGAAGUAGUUACCUCAAGGAUAUUCUCAGGAGAUUGGUCUGUUGGUACUGUUGAGUUAGAGGAGGGGUAUUCAUCUUGUUGUUCUGUAUUGUAUGUAGGUGUGAGACUCGGAUCAGAAAUAUCUUCGCAUGGAUCAGGUGGGUCAGGCAAUUGAUCUCUAUGAGUGGGCAAUUGGUCGCUUUUCGACAGAGAGUAAUCUCGUGCUCCAGACUCAGGAUGAUCAAUCAUUUCCGUACAGAGGAGAAUUUCUUUAUUUUCCAAGUUGCUCCAAUUCUGCUCGUCACUUCGUAUCUCCCCCUGAAGCGUAGAAUUGGAUGAUGGGUCAUGGAAGAACAGCUCAGAUUCCAGAAAGUUCACAUCCAAAGUGAAAUAGGUUUGUUGGGUAUAAGGGUGAUAACAGCGGUAGCCUUUCUAAUGAGUAGCAUAACCCACAAAAACACAACGAAGCUCACAUGGAUCAAGUUUGCUACGUUGAUUUUUGUGGAGAUGAACGAAAGCCACACAUCCAAAGAUUCGGGGUGUGAGUACCAAAACAGAAGGCAGAGGUCUGUGUUGUGCAAGCACCUGUAAGGGAGUUUUAAAAGUCAGUACACCAGAAGGCAUGCGGUUGAUCAGAUGAGCUGCGUUGACAAUAGCAUCAUCCCAAUGAUGGCGAGGAACAUAAGCGCCAAUCAGAAGUGCUUGGGCGGUUUCAAGAAGAUGUCGAUUCUUUCGUUCAGCAACACCAUUUUAUUGCAGUGUCUGAGGACAAGUCGUCUCAUGGAUAAUUCCAUGUUGUUGGAAGUAAGUCUGAAAGUCAUGAUUGACAAAUUCUCCACCAUUGUCUGAGCGAAGAAUCUGGAUUUGAGCAUUAAACUGAAUUUUCAUAUAUUUGUAGAAGGACUGAAAACAGGAAAACACUUCAUUUUUAUUCUUCAGUAAAUAAAGCCAUGUCAUCCGUGUACAAUCAUCGAUGAAUGUGACAAACCAUCGAACACCAGAAUGAGCAGUGAUAGGAGAAGGUCCCCAGACAUCAGAGUGAAUUAAAGUAAAUGGAGUAGUACACUUGUUCGUACUCAACGGGUAGGGCACACGGUGACUCUUGGCCAAAAUACAAGUAUCACAUGUGAAGUCGGAGUCAUUGAAACCUGAGAAUAAAUCUGGUAUAAGAUGCUUCAUAUAACUAAAAGACGGAUGUCCCAAUCGACUGUGCCACAACCAGAUUUACUUUUGUUUGCUAUUAAAGGGAUGUGUCGCACUGUUAGCCACGCCGGGACUGAAGUCAUCGACAUAAUAUAGCCCCCCUCUCUUAAUACCACGACCAAGAAUCUCCUUAGUGCGAAUAUCCUGAAGUAAACAAAAACCCGGGUAAAUAAGUACACAACAAUUCAAUUGUUCAGUAAGCUGACUAACUGACAACAAUUUAGUGGAUAAAGAUGGAACAAGUAAAGUAUUAGACAGUGUGAGAGAGGAUGAGAGUGUAACAAUGCCAGCCCCUAUCACAGGAUAAGUAACACCAUUGGCAUUUGCAAUACAGGUUCGUCGAGGUUGUGUAGUAUUCAAAAAAAUCAUCAAGAUCAAACGUCAUAUGAUCAGUUGCACCAGAAUCAAUUAUCCAGCUCCUGGAAUCAAUCUUAUCAGAAGUAUAGAAUCCAUAACCAGUACCAUUACUGGUCAUAUUGCAUUGUCCUCAAUCUGUAAUAGUAGCCCACCAAUUGGGGUAGCCAUGCGAUUUAAAACAAGUCUCACAAGUGUGUCUCGGAUUACCACAAUAUGCGUAAUCUGGUCCAUGUGUCGGGGUCGUUAGUCUAGAAGUCAUAAUCUGGGCAGCGGAAGAUGUAUAGGAUACAUGUUGAGUAGGAAUUUGGAUCGGAAUCUGAGCCUGAGUCGGGGCCGGAGUCGGAGUCGAAAUCGGGAUCAGGGUCUGAAUCAGAGACAAAUUCGGGGUUGGGGUCAUCAUCGGAGUGGGGGUCGGGGUCGGGGUCGGGGUAGUCAAAAGAGGAUCCUGAUUCUGGAUCGAGUUCGGGGUCAAAGUCUGCAUCUGUAGGAGCGAAGCUAUCUGGACACUAAACUGAACGAUGGUUGGUUGAGAAUGAGAGAAGGAGUCGGUGGUGCUACCUCCAUCAGGGUUGAAAAAAUCAGCAACCCCCAUAGCAGCGGCGGGGGUUUGAAACUAGAGUCAGCAAUUCCAAGAUCGCCGCUCUGAUACCAUGCUAAAAUAUGAAAACUAUGAGAGAAUAUUUGUUUGUGGGAAUUUUUUGUGUAUUCUUCUCCUUGUAGGAGGCCAUAUUUAUAAUACAACGAAACCUGAAUAGGCAAGUAAAUAAUAAAUUCCUAAAUCUAUUUACAGUAGGAAAUCAUGAAUUAAAGUAAAUCAAUUACAAUUAUAAUAGGAAUUCUUGGUGUGUAAGGGAAGUAAGUCAAUAUCUACAAGUCACGCCAACACGUGAAUCAUUCAAAACGCAUGAGAAAUUGAAGAAUAAUUUGAAUCACUAAUAAUCCAAAUCUUUUCCAUGCGUGGUCCUUAUGCUUUAUAUCCGUGGCACCGUCUAUCAAUUUGACUGGAUUGUGUGAAAUGGAAAAGAAAAGUGGCACAAGUAACCUUUUGUGGCACCGUCUAUCAAUUGAUGUCAAGCCCCAGAAGCUCAAACACGUCUAUAAAUAUAUACCUGUCUAUCAUAAGUGUAGUACUUGUGCUUUUAUUUUAAAGUUUACAAAAUUUUCUUUGGUAGGUUUUCAAGCCCACUCACUUGUGCAAUGAUUUCCCCAUCCGCCCUCCUAUUUCAGGUGAACCGUUUGAAGCCAGAACUUAUAACACCGGCGAAGCCAACACCUCAUGAAACAAAGCCAGAACUGAAUUUACCACUUAUUUGUAUCUUUAAAAAUAAAAAUAAAAAUAUUAAAAAAACAUAAAAAGGAAAAAGGAAAAUUAAUUUCCCAGCAACCAGCAGGUUGAACGACGAAGGCCCUUCCACCACCUUACUGCUAUGGAAAUCUGUCACUGCCAAGUUCCUCAAAGACUUAUUGGCUUAUUGGCCUCCGUAUGAAGCCUAUAUUGCCAUAGAGGAUUCAGUGUAUUCAUCAAUACCAUAAACCCACCUCCUUUUAGAUCCUCAAUCUAUUUCAUUGAAACCUACAUUGAUGGAGAGAGAAGAUCAACCAUGGCAAUUAUUAUGUCUACGAGAUGAUGACUCUGAAGCCUCCUUUUAAUGUUCAAGGUUGUGUUGCGAAGGUGUGGGGAAGGGCAGAGCGAAUUAGGGGCUAAUAGAUGGGGAGUUGGGGUUAGGAGAUACCAUGUAAGGGCUGAGAACAAUGUGCAGAGAGAGGGAGACAAGAAAAACAAUUUAAACAUUAAAAUUUUUUAAAGAAAAUAUUUCAUUUAUUAUUUUUUCACAUCUGGCCCUUGCGUGGCAUAUAUUUCAGCAAAGAAAUGGGUCGCAUUGAUGCCACAUCAGCAUUUUUAACUGGAUUUUUGACGGACUUGACAGUGCUGAGAAAAGUGAAAUACAAAACAUUGGUUAAAGGAGUAAAGUAGGUCCCUUUAAAUUUCAUGGUGUAAUGCGAGAUUUUAUCAUAGUUUCAGCUUCAGGGACACUAUAGUAAUUAAGAAAAAUGAAUGAAGAACAUGAACCAUUUAAAACGCAUGAGAAAUUGAAGAAUAAUAAGAUUCAUGAAUGGGAAUAAUUAUUAACUCGAGCCCACCAUGUCAAGACAGAACGAACAUUUUACAUGCGCUGUCCUCCUCAUGUUUUGUAUGUGUUGUACCUGUUGCUAAUUGAACUGUGAAGUGUUCAUCUUAUACACAUAUACGUUAACAAAUAUGAGGACGACAUAUACCCGCAAAUUUUGAACUGUCAGCAAUGUGGUCCAACCCGUUAAAUUCACGGUUUAACAAACAUUAUCCACUUUUUUUUGUCUUUUAAAAACAUAAAAACUUUUAUUAAAAUUAAUAAAAAUAUUUGAAUUAAUUUAAAAAUAUUAACUUACUCUUAGGGCCAGUUUGGCAUUGCUGUGCUGUGAAAAUAAUCGCUGUCAGAUUUGCUGUGAGAGAAAUCAGCUGUGAGAAAAAGCAGUUUGGCGUUUGGUAAAAUUUUGUUAAAAGUAUUGUUGGUAUUGAUUUUAUGCAUAAUCAAAAAAUGAUUGCCGCAUAAUCAUUAAACCCAGCGCCUCUUCAAAACUGAUUCCUGCAUAAUCAAAAAAUGAAAGCAGCUAAUUAGCUGCUUUCCCUUAUAGCUUUCUCUCACAGCAAUUUUUAACAAUAAGUGAUUUUCUCACAGUUUACCAAAUGGGUUGGGCUUCUCAAAAUUUUUAAAAAAAUCACUUAUUACCCCAAAUAAGCAAUGCCAAACGGGCACUUAAUUUCGGGCUGAUUGAUGAAGUCCUUCUAUAACUACAAAUAUUUUAAAAGAUUACAUAAUUUUCAGUUCAAAAAACGAACUUAACAUUGUUUCUCUUUGACAAAUUGGAAGCUUUAGCACAGAGCUAUUUCUGGUUCACAAUGACAGAACAUGAUCCAACGGCUUCGGAGCCUUGAGGUGUGGCUGGGAGGUGGAGUUUGACAGGGUGGUGGGUGGUUGUUGGAGAGAGAGAGAGAAGAUAGAAUGGUGGCGGCGGCUGGGAUUGGAUGGUGUUGUCUUGUUUUUUUAUUUCUUUUUAUUUUGUGGAUCUCAUUUUUAUUUAUGUAGUUCUUAGUUUUUAUUUUUAAAAUUGAAUUCAAUUAUUUAUAUUAGUUUUUUGAAAGUUUUUUAACCGUAGAUUAACAGAUUGGACUACAUUGCCUAACAGUUUUAAACACAAUAACUAAUAAAUUGGCCAAAUUGAAAACACAGAGACUAAAUUGGCCAACACUGUAAGACACAGGGACCAUCUUGACAUUUAAGCCUAAAAUAUAUCUAACUCUUCAUUAUAACCAUUAAUAAAGAACAUAAGAGGGUUUAGAACACCCAACUUUUAAUGCUUUUGAGAAGAAAAUUGAUUUUGGAUUUUUUUUUAAAAAAGCAAUCUUUAAAAUUCUCAAGAUAAGGUGACUGAGGAAAUGAAUUACGAGUGUAAAUAGCAGCACUCAAUUAAUGAAAAAGGAAUGAAGAACGUGAAUCAUUCAAAACGCAUGAGAAAUUGAAGAAUAAUUUGAAUCACUAAUAAUCCAAAUCUUUUCCAUGCGUGGUCCUUAUUUUUUAUAUUUGUGGCAUGGAAAAGAAUUUGAAUCACUAUCAAUUUGACUGGAUUGUGUGAAAUGGAAAAGAAAAGUGGCACUAGUAUAGUAACCUUUUGUGGCACCGUCUAUCAAUUGAUGUCAAGCCACAGAACCACAAACACGUCUAUAAAUACUUACCGGUCUAUCAUAAGUGUAGUACUUGUGCUUUUAUUUUAAAGUUUUCAAAAUUUUCUUUGGUAGGUUUUCAAGCCCACUCACUUGUGCAAUGAUUUCCCCAUCCGCCCUCCUAUUUCAGGUGAACCGUUUGAAGGCAGAACUUAUAACACCGGCGAAGCCAACACCUCAUGAGACAAAGCUACUCUCUAAUAUUGAUGACCAGGAAAGCCUUAGGUUUCAGGUUUCAGUCAUAAUGUCUUACAAGAACAAUCCUUCAAUGAAAGGAAACGAUGCCGUUGAGGUGAUCAGGGAAGCAUUGAGUCGGGCACUCGUGUAUUACUACCCUUUGGCUGGCAGGCUCAGGGAAGGACCUAAUAGGAAGCUUAUGGUGGAGUGCAA
rnacentral:lncRNA from 1 species